rnacentral:lncRNA from 1 species
GUUUUUUUUUCUACUUUUAAAUGACUAAGUGCUUUAAUUUUAGGGUUUAUUUUUAGUUUUAUAUUGUAUCUAAAACGGUACCAUUUAGGGCCUGUUUCAGUAGCUCCAAAAUGGUGUCGUAUAAGGUGACCUAAUUCAACCCGUCCUGGUACCUAUGAGGAUCUGCACGUUUUGCUUAAAGGGGAUAUCUGCACGUUUAGUCCCUUUCUUAUGCGCAGUCCUAUGAUUGGGCCCUACUCCAAUUUUCUUAUUCUUAUUUUGUCACUGAAAGUUGAGCAUUGUUUCAAAUUAGUCCGCGUUUAAACACUGCGUUUCGGAGAUUUGGGGCAUUUGCAUUUUUAAUCCUCGUGUGUUUUCAGGCACUUCAUUUUAAUCCUUGAUUUUGUUUAAUAACUUUAUUUGUUUGUAAAUCAUUCCUUUGAUUUUGGUUUUUACUUCAAUUGAGUCUUUUUUUUAGUUUAUGUGUUUUAUUCUCUAUAAUUUAUUCAUUAUUUAUCGUUAAAAGAAUUUGUUUUAACAUUUUUAUUUUUUUUGUUUGAUCUCGCAUAGUUUUAGUGUUUUUGUUACUUACUUUUGUAUAUUUUUAUAUUGUUUUUCAAUUUUACUUAUUUUAGAUUCUUUUUUAUAUUUCUAUGUUUUAAAAAUUUAUGUGAUAUUUAAUUUAAAUAUUUUUAUACAUUUUAUAUAUUUACACAUAAUUUAGCUUAAAAUUAUUUUCUUAUUCUAUAUAUAUAUUAUUGAUGUUAUAUUCUUUUAUGUAUAUAUUUUCUUUAAAAAUCUACUUAUAUAUAAUUUAUUUCCUAUAAAGACCCUAUUUUAUCAUAUAUUUUUGUUUAUUUCAAAUACUUUUAUACAUUUGUAUUUUCAUGUAUCAAUUAUUUGUAUUAAUUUUUUAUUUUACGUAUAUUAUUUAUGUAGAUUGACAUAUGUCUUAUUUUGUAUAUUACUUACCUUAUAAUAUUCAUUUUAAAAUUCAUUUGUAUAUUACUAUUUAAUAUAUUAUUUAUUUUUACCUUUUUUCCUAUUUUAAACUUUUAUAUCUAUUACUUGUUUUAAAAUUUUUUAUACUGUUUGUAUAGUGAUGUUUUCAAAUUUUCUUCCUUUCAUAUUAUUCAUUUUAUUUUAUUUUACAACUUGUUGUAUUUCAUUUGUGUAAUUUGCUUGGAAUUUCUUUUAAAUUGGCUUUUAAUUCAUUAGCCUUCAGUUAUUAAUAUUAGUAUUUUUAUAGUAUAUGAUGGGUUGCCAUUGCAUGUACCCUAAUUUGCUCAUUUGUGUUUUAUUAUUAUUUUUUAUCAUUCAUGUAAUAUUAUUACCAGGUAUUUUUAUUUCAUGCUCGAUACUAUGCUUGUAUGUUUCUUAUUAUUACAUCAGGUUUUAAAUUCCAAUUUUCACCCAAUAUCGAUUGCCUUUUAUCCUUAAGUAAACUAAACGAAUAUAUUUUGAGUCGGUUUUAUAAUCGCUUAUUCGAAAACUUCUCAAAAUAAUGCAAUAUUUCGUGUUUGGAAAUUCAAGAAAUCAUACCCUAACGAGCUGGUUUCGAUUUUUCGUUUGACUAAAUAACCAAGUAUCCUUCUAAAAUUUCACUCGUGCUUUCUUAAAUUAAAAAAUAAGGCAAUAUUUUGUGUUUGGAAAUUCGGGAAAUAGUGCCCUAAUGUGCUGGGUGUCGAUUUUCUGUUUGACCAAAUAACUGAAUAUCCUUUUUUUUAGGCAUGAGUUUUGUAAAGCCUGAGAGGAUCUUGGUUUCAAAGGUUUAAAAUGUCGCAUCCUAACGUAUUGGAUGUGAUAUUUUGUUCUUUCAGAACAGGAGAAUCUUAAAAUCCAACUCGAUUUGUUCAUACAUUUUUAAAAGGAUCAUAUUUUAACAUUUUUUUAAAUUUUCAAUGUUAGGACAUUAAUUAAUCAAUUGGUACCAAUUUUGGGUGUUGCGAGGGUGCUAAUCCUUCCUCAUACGUAACCAACUCCCGAACCCAUUUUCUAUAAUUUCGUAGGCCAAAAUCAAUAUUUUAAAUAAAACAAAGUGUUUUAUAAGGUGAUCCAAUCACACCUAAAAAAAGGAUUGGUGGCGACUCUAUUUUCGUUUUUAAAGUUGAUCCCCGUUUUUCAAAAUAAAAAAAUGGUUUUGAUAGCUUGGCGACUCCACUGGGGACAAUAAGAGAGUCAAGCCGUAAAAUUGAAUUCUUUCUGUCCGUUUGUCGAAAAUCGAAAAUUUGAUUUAAAAAAUCAUGGUUCUUUUGUCGUAUUUGUUUUGUGUUAAGUCAUGUCUUUGUUGUGAUUUGAGUCUCGUAGGAUAUUCCUGCAUCAUAUUGCAUGACCGUUGUGGUUACCCUUUUUAAGUGGGAGUGAGAAACUAUUUCCUUCGUGAGGUUUUCACCUCCGUGCAGGAUAGUGGAUCGCUUUCGGGAUACAUCUGUACCUAUUUCUUCGUGAGGUUUUCACCUUCGUGCAGCCAUAAGGAAAUGUAUUCCCCUGAACUGAACUCGGUCCAUAUGAGCCUUUAAUGGGUGAGGAUCAGGGAAUCUGCUGGUUCAGGUACCCUUUCUUUAGAACAGAACUGCAUAUAGUAAGACCAUAAAAGCCCGCCCUAGGUAGAGCCACGUCGAACCAUUAGUGGUCAUCCGAAUAGAUGCUCUAUUAUUCUUUGCUUACUUUGAAUUCUAGUUUUUUAUACUGACUUGUUUUGUUUGCUUUGAUUGUGAUUGCAUGACAUUUUCAUCAUAAAAAAAGGGUGUCGAUUCACGUUCAGUUACUAACUAGAGAACUUGCAACAUAGAACAAUUUUCUUGAUAAAGUAGAGGAUGGUAUGGUCGUCCGUGUAUGGUCAAAGAAAACGCAAUUAGAAAAGGGUGAUAGCUUAGCAGAGGGGUACGUAUCAGAAUUAUUGGACUUCACCCGUAUCAGCGUGUCACAAAAUGAUCUCCGGGAAUUGAAGGAGAUAUGGGUCAAUUGGAACGAUGAGGUUAAGUAGCUAUUUUACAGUAAUUAUGGUGACAUGCCCUAUCUACUCGACAUCAGGGUGGAUAAGUACCUGCUUCGAGUUUUGGCUCAAUUUUGGAAUCCUUCCUACAAUUGCUUUACCUUUAGGAAUAUGGAUUUGGGGCCUACGGUAGAGGAGUAUAUAGUCUUGCUUCGUUGUCCAAAGUUUAAAGUUGACAAGGCCUAUUCCAGAGCCACUAAUGUCCCGACUUUCAUUAAGAAAUUGAUAAAUAUCACGAGAAUGAGUGAAUAGUGGGUUGCGGCUCGUAUCAAGCAAAAAGGAGGAAUGAAAUGUAUUCCCUGGCAAAUUUUGCGAGAUUUGAUUUUGGCGUACCCAGAUGUGAAGAAAAGGGUUGAUGUGUUUGCUUUAAGCAUUUACGGGUUAAUUGUUUUCCCAAAAGCACUAGGGUAUGUAGAUGAGGCGGUCUCGGAUCUCUUCGACUGACUAGACAAAGGGGUCACACCUAUUCCUGUGAUCUUGGCCAAGACGUUUAGAUCUUUGAAUACAUGCAAGAGAGUCGGCGAGGGUAGAUUUAUAGGGUGUACGCAAUUAUUGUUAGCUUGGUUCCACAACCAUUUUUGGAAGGUGGAUAAAGUUUCUUAUCAAGUUUUCUCCUAGAAUUACUCCCCGUUAAAGGAGAUAGCAGCCACGCCCAGGAAAGAUGACAUAUCAGAAGAAAAUUGGAUCACGCUCCUUCGAAAUCUUCAGGAAGAGGACGUUGAGUGGAGAGCUCCUUGGAUGGUUCUCUAUGAGAUUCUUUACCGAUGCGGGAGUUUUGACUGGGUUCCUCUGUUUGGGAUUUGGGGAGUCAUCGGGUAUGCUCCUUUACUAGUUUUGAGGCCGUACAGAUCAAGACAAUUCAUACCGACAACCCAGGGGCUAGCUUAGUGCAAGUUUUCAUAUAAGGGGGAUAACUACAAGAAAAAGGUCUGAAAAAUGUCUAAUGCUUGGAAACAGACUCGCCGACUAAAAAGAUUUGUUGUAGGUCUGAUGACGACCCCUAAAUAUAAUGGGAGGUGGAGUAAAAGGGUCAAUAACAACAUCCCCGGGCAAAGUCAAUAAGGUGCGCGGCCAAUGGAAGAAUAUCUGCAAGUGGUCCCAUUCGAGCUAGAGAUCAUAAAGCAGGAUUUUGAGAAAUGAAAUGCAGAGCUAGGAAAGAAAAUAGAGCAGAUGGAAGAGGAAAAGAUGCAUUUGAGGCUGGAGGUCGAUGUUCAGAAAUUAGAGUUCGAGAAGUUGAGAAAAAGAAAAAGGAAGUCUGAAGAGGACUUGGAUAGUUUGAAGACUGAUUACAAGAAGUUGCGUAUGUCGAGGAGAACUGUCAGAUUGGGAAAGACAUCAGAACAGUGUUAACAAGAGAUCUAAGAAGAAAAAGCUAGAGCUAAUCAGUGGGAGAAGAGGUUCCAUGAUACUCGAGUGCGAGAAAAUGCUUUCAAAAAGAGCUUGGUUGAGAGCCAAAAUGAGAAGGAAAUGUUAGUAGCUCGAGUAGCAGAGUUAGGCACUACAUUAGCAUUGUGGUUGUAACUCCGACAUUGAAUUAAGGGCCAGCCUGAGCAGGAUUGUAACACCCCGAACCCGAGUCCGACACCGGAGUCGAACACGAGGUGUUAACAAACUUUGAAAAAUUUCCAGACACUGCCCAAUCUGUGUACUAGUCGCUUUAAAAAUCAUAUCUUGAGCUUCACAACUCGAAAAUCAGUUUCGUGAUUUUUCCCUGAAACUAGACUCAUAUUCCCAUCUACAUAUUUUUUUCUAGAAUUUUUGGUUGGGCCAAUUAGUACAGUUUAUUAGUCAAAGUCUCCCAUGUUACAGGGAUCGACUACCCUGAUCUUUGCGCAUUACGACUUGGAUAUCUCCUUGUACAGGGCUCCAAUACUGAUGCCGUUUGUUUCUAUAGAAACUAGACUCAGAGAGGAAUCUAUACAUAUAUGGUAUGACUCCUAAUUAUCUCUGGUUAAUUUAUAAUGAAUUUCCAAAGUCGGAACAGGGAAUCCAGAAACCGUUCUGGCCCUGUAUCACGAGAACCUGAAUAUCUCUUAACAUACUGUCCGUAUGAUUGUUUCGUUACUUUCAUAUGAAAGUAGAUUCAUCAAGGUUCGAUUACAUAUUUUAUUCACUAUUUAAUUCCACUCCUACGAAUUCUUGUGAUUUUUCCAAUCCACACCACUGCUGCUGUCAGCCUCUGUUUUCAGAGUAAACCUUACCUAUUUUCGGGGUUUCAUGGACCAACUAGGGCCUUGUCAUACAUAUGCCCACAUAUGAUCAUACUUAGCCAUUCCAAUGGCUGAUCAUUUUCUCAACACUUCCAUUCCAACUAUAGUUACAUCAUGAAACCAUCUAUACAUUCAUAAACACGAAUGGUCUAAUGCCAUAUUCCACUUCUACAAGCCAUUUUCGCAUGGCUGUACACUUAUACAUUUCAUAAAGUACUCGAAAAACAACAAUGGGUAGUCCUAUACAUGCCAUAUCAAAAUUCAACCAAAAUAGUACCCAAAAGAGCCUUUGAUAGUGUGGGCGACUUCGACUUCAAGAUCCCGAGUCCGAUAGCUGGAGAACCAAAAAUCUAUAAAACAGAGGAGCAGUGUAACGAGUAAGCAAUUUAUGCUUAGUAAGUUUUGAGCAAGGAAUUCCAGCAUAAACAAAGUAUAACACACAUUUAGCUAAACGGAAUAUUUCAUAAUACGCAAUUUACCGAUAUCAAACUUGCUUCACAACAUAAACAACCAUUAUGUACAUACACAAUAGACUAACUUAGCCGAAGGCCGGUAGCUCGUUUAUCAACUGAGCGAACAUUUAUUUGUACGGGCUCGACUAAAUUCAACACAUACGUAACAUAUCCCCAUAUUGGGAUGUUUUUCGUGUAUUCGCUGGAAUUUUACAGCAAGCUCAUUCAUUACCAAAUCACAUACCUUCGGGAUUUAACCGGAUAUAGCUCCUCGUUCAAAUGCCUUCGGGACAUAGCCCGGUUUUAGUAACCCACACAAUGCCUUCGGGACUUAACCCGGAUUUAAUAACUCGCACGAAUGCCUUCGGGACUUAACCCGGAUUUAGUAUCUCGCACAAAGGCCUUCGGGGCUUAACCCGGAACUUGUAUCUCGCACAAAUGCCUUCGGAUCUUAGUCCGGAUAUAUUCACUUAGCACAAAGCCUUCGGGACUUAGCCCGGACAGCAUUCAAUUAAUCAUGCACAUCUAACAAUAAUUCAUGGCACAUUCGUAUUUCUUUUUCAUUAGCAAAACUCAAACACAAGGCACAUACCAUCCUUGCACAUUCGGCUCAAUAGCCACACAUAGAGCAUGAUUUUAAUUUGCUUAAAACAUGAUUUAAUCACAUCGUAAUUUAAGCUCUCUUACUCAAGAACUUACCUCGGGUGUUGUCGAACGAUUCCGCUAACUAUUCGACCACUUUUUCCUUCCCUUUAUCGGAUUUAUUUCCCCUUUGCUCUUGAGCUUAGCCUAGCUACAUGCAUGGCCGAAUCUCUUCACCUUUCUUCUUCUUUCCUCCUUAAAAUUUUUGGCCAAGGAUGAACCAAAGGAUGAGAAAUUUUUUUCUUUGUUUUUCUUUCUAAUUUAGGCUAAAUGAAGGUGAGAAAAGGAUGAACAAAGAUCUUCUCCUCUCUUUUUUUUUAGCUCACGGCCAUGGGGGGGGGGGAAAAGAAUCAACUACACACUUUUUUUUUUGUGUAUUCAUCAUGCUCCUUUUCAUUAUUUAAUUUCCAUGCCUAUUAUUUUAUUUUUUUCCUACAUACCUCACUAGGCCAACAUGUUCCCAACAUGUUUCCACCCAUAGCAUGGCCAACCACUAGCUCAAAUUUUGGGUAAUUUGACAUGCAAACCCAUCAUUUUCACAACAUGCAUUAAUAGACCAUUUUAAAUUAGCCUAUCAUAUUUUCACCAUGUCUCAUAUCAAUCCCUAUUUAAUAAUUUCUCAUGCAAUUGGCAAAAUUGGAGAAUGAAACUUCCACAUACUCAUGUACACACAUAAUAAGCAUAGAAUAUGGAAAUCAAUUAUUUUUAUGACUCGGUUUUGUGGUCCCGAAACCACUUCCCGACUAGGGUCAAUUUUGGGCUGUCACAACUCUCCCCCACUUAAGAAAUUUUCGUCCCCGAAAAUCUUACCGGUAAAUAGGUUUGGGUAUCGUUCUUUCAUCGAGCUCUCGGUUUCCCAAGUAGCUUCCUCGAUCCCGUGUUUGAGCCAUAACACCUUCACUAACGAAACCCUUUUGUUUCGCAACUCCUUCACUUCACGAGCUAGGAUACGCAUCGGUUCUUCUUCAUAGCUCAUGUCGACUUGAAUUUCAACCUCUGAUGGGCUAAUUAUGUGCGAUGGAUCAGAUCGAUAGCGUCGAAGCAUCGAAACGUGAAAGACGUCAUGAAUCUUUUCAAGCUCCGGGGGCAAAAUCAAUCUAUACGCAACCGGACCAACUCGUUCGGAGAUUUCGUACGGCCCAAUGAAUCUUGGGCUCAACUUGCCCUUACGGCCGAACCUGAGUAUCUUUUUCCAAGGUGAAACCUUAAGGAACACUUUGUCUCCCACCUGAUACUCGAUGUCUUUUCGUUUCAAAUCUGCGUACGACUUCUGACGAUCCGUGGCUACCUUCAGACUUUCACGGAUUACCUUUACUUUCUGUUCAGCAUCUUUAACCAAAUCAACUCCGAAAAUUUUACUUUCACCGAGCUCGGUCCAAAACAAUGGUGUACGGUAUUUACGACCGUACAAAGCCUCGUAAGGUGCCAUCUUAAUACUUGAUUGAAAACUAUUGUUGUAAGUGAAUUCAAUCAAAGGUAAAUACCGUUCCCAUGAACUACUGAACUCGAGGAUGCAACAUCUCAACAUAUCCUCAAGUAUCUGAAUUAUCCGCUCGGAUUGACCAUCGGUUUGAGGGUGAAAAGCAGUGCUAAAAUGCAGCUUGGUACCCAGAGCUUCUUGCAAUUUCUUCCAAAAUCGUGAGGUGAAUCUCGGAUCUCUAUCCGACACGAUAGAAACAGGUACCCCGUGUAAUCUCACAAUUUGAUAAACGUACAAUUCAGCUAGUUUAUCCAAUGAAAAAUCCGUACGUACGGGGAUGAAAUGAGCCGACUUAGUCAGUCUAUCAACAACAACCCAUAUCGCAUCCUUCUUACUUGCUGACAAGGGCAGUCCGGACACAAAGUCCAUUGUGACUCGAUCCCAUUUCCACUCGGGUAUCAUGAUCGGCUGGAGUAAUCCUGAAGGCACUUGAUGUUCCGCUUUCACUUGUUGACAUAUUAAACAUCUCGAAACAAAGUCGGAGAUGUCCCGUUUCAUACCAUGCCACCAAAAUUGACGUUUCAAAUCGUUGUACAUUUUCGUACUCCCCGGGUGAAUUGACAUUCGGCUACAAUGGGCUUCGUUCAGAAUCAUCGAAAUGAGUUCCGAAUUUCUUGGAACACACAAACGAUUUCUGAACCUCAAACAAUCACCAUCAUCAAUUUGAAACUCCGAUUCCUCGUUCGGAACACACUUAGCCUGUUUUUCAACCAAUUCAUCAUCGACUUUCUGAGCUUCACGAAUUUGGUGAGUCAAUAAUGGUUUAGCUUUUAAUUCAGCUACUAACACAUUGUCUGGUAGAACAGACAAAUGCACAUUCAUCGCUCGUAAAGCAAACAAUGACUUCCGGCUUAAGGCGUCCGCAACCACGUUAGCCUUUCCCGGGUGGUAAUCAAUGACAAGCUCGUAAUCUUUCAACAACUCAAGCCAAUGUCUUUGUCGCAGAUUCAAGUCUCGUUGAGUCAUCAAAUAUUUGAGACUUUUGUGAUCCGAAAAUACAUGGCACUUCUCACCAAACAGAUAAUGUCGCCAUAUUUUUAAAGCAAACACGAUGGCAGCUAGUUCGAGAUCAUGGGUCGGAUAAUUCCUCUCGUGUGGCUUCAAUUGUCUCGACGCAUAGGCCACGACUCGACCUUCUUACAUCAAUACGCAACCCAACCCAAGUAGGGAUGCGUCACUAUAAAUGACAAACUCUUUACCUGAUUCGGGUUGCACCAAAAUUGGAGCUUCAGUCAAAUGAGUUUUCAGUUGGUCGAAACUUUUCUGACAUUUCUCCGUCCACUCGAACUUAACAUCCUUUUGAAGUAGCUUCGUCAUUGGUGUGGCUAUCAUCGAGAAACCUUUCACAAAUCGUCGGUAAUAACCGGCGAGCCCCAAAAAGCUCCGAACUUCAGUAAUAUUUCUCGGAGGUUUCCAGUCAAGUAUGGCUGAAAUUUUGUUCGGGUCAACACGAAUACCUGACGCGGAUACCACAUGACCCAAGAAGCUAACCUCUCUUAACCAGAACUCACACUUACUGAACUUAGCAUAUAACUGCUUAUCCCGCAAAAUUUGCAGCACUAGCCUCAGAUGCUCAGCAUGUUCGGUCUCAUCUCUUGAAUAGACUAAAAUGUCAUCAAUGAACACAACUACGAACCGAUCCAAAUACGAUCUGAAGAUCCGAUUCAUCAAAUCCAUAAAUACCGCAGGGGCAUUAGUGAGCCCAAACGGCAUCACUAAGAAUUCGUAGUGACCAUAUCUCGUUCUGAAGGCAGUUUUGGGAAUAUCUGAAUCUCGAAUUCGCAACUGAUAAUAGCCCGAUCUCAAAUCUAUUUUUGAGAACACUGAGGCUCCCUUCAGUUGGCCGAACAAAUCAUCGAUGCGCGGCAACGGAUAUUUGUUCUUUAUCGUCACUUUAUUCAGCUGACGAUAGUCAAUGCACAACCUCAUGGUUCCGUCCUUCUUUUUCACGAACAAUACUGGUGCACCCCAAGGUGAAAAACUUGGUCGAGCGAAACCUCUAUCCGUCAGUUCUUGCAACUGAGCUUUCAACUCCUUUAACUCAGUUGGUGCCAUACGAUACGGAGCUAUCGAAAUCGGCGUAGUCCCAGGUACAAGCUCAAUACCAAACUCUACCUCCCGAACAGGUGGUAAACCCGGUAAUUCUUCCGGAAAAACAUCCGGGUAUUCACAAGCCACCGGCACAGAUUCGGGUUUCUUUUCUAAUUCUUUGUCAUCAAGUACAUACGCAAGGUAUGCUUCGCACCCUUUUCUUACAUAUUUCUGUGCCAACAUUGUUGAUAUUACAGCUGGCAUCCCCUCCAAGUCCGCAGACUCAAUUCGGAUUACUUCGUUAUUUGCGCACCUCAAAUCAAUAGUCUUGCUCUUGCAAUUCACAACCGCAUCAUGCGCGGUCAACCAAUCCAAACCAAGGAUAACAUCAAAUUCAUCAAACGGCAAAAGCAUCAAGUCCGCCGGAAAACAGGAACCUCGAAUUUCCAGGGGACAUUUCUUACACACUUUGUCGACAAGCACGUAACGACCCAAGGGAUUUGACACCCGAAUUACGAACUCAGUAGACUCAAUAGGUAAAGUCUUACUGGAUGCUAAGGUUUCACAUAUGUAAGAAUGAGUAGAACCGGGGUCAAUCAAAGCAAUUACAUUAGUAUCAAAGAGAGUGAAUGUACCGGUAAUAACAUCAGGCGAAGAAGCAUCCUCGCGGGCACGUAUAGCAUAAGCUCUAGCAGGCGCACGAGCUUCGGAUCUGGUUAUAUCAUCUCUAGAUCCUCUCUGACCACCACCAUCAUUGCCCGCAUUUCCAGAUGGUCUACCCCGAGCAGUGGUAGCACCCGGUCUCCCACUCUGAUUUGCAUUCUGUCCCGACAACCUCGGGCAAUCUUUAAUGAAGUGGUCAACUGAUCCGCAUUUGUAACAGGAGCGGUCAGGGAAUCUACAACUCCCCGAAUGCCAUUUACCGCAAUAUCGGCAUUUCGUUCUGUCUCGACGUUCAUUCCCAACACUGGCGACUGAAGUGCCUCGUGUACCCACUGGGGGUCGAUCACGAUCUCGUCUAAAAAGGCCCGAAGUGCCUCUAAACUGGCCCGCAUCAUCUCGAAAUUUCUUCGAUGCCUGUUGAAGAGACUUUCCCGAGGAUCUUUUACGAAACUCUCCAGUUCCCUCAUCAACUUUUUGUUUUUCUUUUCUAAGCUCUUCGGCUUUACAAGCUCGCUCGACAAGUACUACGAACUCUCGUAUUUCAAGAACGCCAACGAACAUUUUUAUAUCUUCAUUCAGCCCAUCCUCGAAGCGUUUACACAUAAUAGCCUCGGACGAAACACAUUCCCGAGCAUAUUUGCUAAGUCUAACAAAUUUUCGCUCGUAAUCAAUAACCGACAUGGAACCUUGCUUAAGCUCAAGAAAUUCCUUCCGUUUUUUAUCAACAAAUCUCUGACUGAUAUACUUUUUCCGAAACUCAGUUUGGAAAAACUCCCAAGUUAUUUGCUCUCGGGGCACAACAGAAGUCAGAGUACUCCACCAAUAGUAGGCAGAAUCGCGUAGCAAGGAGAUAGUACACUUUAGGCAUUCAUCGGGUGUACAAGAUAGCUCAUCGAGUACCCGGAUAGUGUUGUCCAACCAAAAUUCAGCUUGCUCGGCAUCGUCGCUAUCCGUAGCUUUAAAUUCAGUAGCCCCAUGUUUUCGGAUUCUAUCAACUGGGGGCUUAUUUGACCUUAUUUGGUCAGUUACCGGAGGUAUUGUAGGUGCGGGGGUAGUAUUUGUCGGGAAUGGAGGUUGUGGAACAGCCGUAUUAGUUCGAAUGUAUUGGUUGAACCAAUCAUUCAUCACGCUAUAGAAUGCUUGUUUAGCUUCAUCAUUCGGAUUACUAGCAUUAGGUUGAGAGUCCGCCGGCGCUGUCCCUUGUGCGGGAGCAGGCGCUACACUCUCAAGAUCAUCAGCUACCUCUCGGUUGGGAUCGGGAUCCAUUACUAUAAAUAAACACAUUUAUAAUUGUCAGAAAUCACCACACUAUCAAGUAAUCACAUAAAAUGGCAUGUAUAGCUAGACCCAACACAUUACGGUAGUCCUAGAAUCGACUAAACCGUAGCUCUGAUACCAAUAAAAUGUAACACCCCGAACCCGAGUCCGACACCGGAGUCGAACACGAGGUGUUAACAAACUUUGAAAAAUUUCCAGACACUGCCCAAUCUGUGUACUAGUCGCUUUAAAAAUCAUAUCUUGAGCUUCACAACUCGAAAAUCAGUUUCGUGAUUUUUCCCUGAAACUAGACUCAUAUUCCCAUCUACAUAUUUUUUUCUAGAAUUUUUGGUUGGGCCAAUUAGUACAGUUUAUUAGUCAAAGUCUCCCAUGUUACAGGGAUCGACUACCCUGAUCUUUGCGCAUUACGACUUGGAUAUCUCCUUGUACAGGGCUCCAAUACUGAUGCCGUUUGUUUCUAUAGAAACUAGACUCAGAGAGGAAUCUAUACAUAUAUGGUAUGACUCCUAAUUAUCUCUGGUUAAUUUAUAAUGAAUUUCCAAAGUCGGAACAGGGAAUCCAGAAACCGUUCUGGCCCUGUAUCACGAGAACCUGAAUAUCUCUUAACAUACUGUCCGUAUGAUUGUUUCGUUACUUUCAUAUGAAAGUAGAUUCAUCAAGGUUCGAUUACAUAUUUUAUUCACUAUUUAAUUCCACUCCUACGAAUUCUUGUGAUUUUUCCAAUCCACACCACUGCUGCUGUCAGCCUCUGUUUUCAGAGUAAACCUUACCUAUUUUCGGGGUUUCAUGGACCAACUAGGGCCUUGUCAUACAUAUGCCCACAUAUGAUCAUACUUAGCCAUUCCAAUGGCUGAUCAUUUUCUCAACACUUCCAUUCCAACUAUAGUUACAUCAUGAAACCAUCUAUACAUUCAUAAACACGAAUGGUCUAAUGCCAUAUUCCACUUCUACAAGCCAUUUUCGCAUGGCUGUACACUUAUACAUUUCAUAAAGUACUCGAAAAACAACAAUGGGUAGUCCUAUACAUGCCAUAUCAAAAUUCAACCAAAAUAGUACCCAAAAGAGCCUUUGAUAGUGUGGGCGACUUCGACUUCAAGAUCCCGAGUCCGAUAGCUGGAGAACCAAAAAUCUAUAAAACAGAGGAGCAGUGUAACGAGUAAGCAAUUUAUGCUUAGUAAGUUUUGAGCAAGGAAUUCCAGCAUAAACAAAGUAUAACACACAUUUAGCUAAACGGAAUAUUUCAUAAUACGCAAUUUACCGAUAUCAAACUUGCUUCACAACAUAAACAACCAUUAUGUACAUACACAAUAGACUAACGUAGCCGAAGGCCGGUAGCUCGUUUAUCAACUGAGCGAACAUUUAUUUGUACGGGCUCGACUAAAUUCAACACAUACGUAACAUAUCCCCAUAUUGGGAUGUUUUUCGUGUAUUCGCUGGAAUUUUACAGCAAGCUCAUUCAUUACCAAAUCACAUACCUUCGGGAUUUAACCGGAUAUAGCUCCUCGUUCAAAUGCCUUCGGGACAUAGCCCGGUUUUAGUAACCCACACAAUGCCUUCGGGACUUAACCCGGAUUUAAUAACUCGCACGAAUGCCUUCGGGACUUAACCCGGAUUUAGUAUCUCGCACAAAGGCCUUCGGGGCUUAACCCGGAACUUGUAUCUCGCACAAAUGCCUUCGGAUCUUAGUCCGGAUAUAUUCACUUAGCACAAAGCCUUCGGGACUUAGCCCGGACAGCAUUCAAUUAAUCAUGCACAUCUAACAAUAAUUCAUGGCACAUUCGUAUUUCUUUUUCAUUAGCAAAACUCAAACACAAGGCACAUACCAUCCUUGCACAUUCGGCUCAAUAGCCACACAUAGAGCAUGAUUUUAAUUUGCUUAAAACAUGAUUUAAUCACAUCGUAAUUUAAGCUCUCUUACUCAAGAACUUACCUCGGGUGUUGUCGAACGAUUCCGCUAACUAUUCGACCACUUUUUCCUUCCCUUUAUCGGAUUUAUUUCCCCUUUGCUCUUGAGCUUAGCCUAGCUACAUGCAUGGCCGAAUCUCUUCACCUUUCUUCUUCUUUCCUCCUUAAAAUUUUUGGCCAAGGAUGAACCAAAGGAUGAGAAAUUUUUUUCUUUGUUUUUCUUUCUAAUUUAGGCUAAAUGAAGGUGAGAAAAGGAUGAACAAAGAUCUUCUCCUCUCUUUUUUUUUAGCUCACGGCCAUGGGGGGGGGAAAAGAAUCAACUACACACUUUUUUUUUUGUGUAUUCAUCAUGCUCCUUUUCAUUAUUUAAUUUCCAUGCCUAUUAUUUUAUUUUUUUCCUACAUACCUCACUAGGCCAACAUGUUCCCAACAUGUUUCCACCCAUAGCAUGGCCAACCACUAGCUCAAAUUUUGGGUAAUUUGACAUGCAAACCCAUCAUUUUCACAACAUGCAUUAAUAGACCAUUUUAAAUUAGCCUAUCAUAUUUUCACCAUGUCUCAUAUCAAUCCCUAUUUAAUAAUUUCUCAUGCAAUUGGCAAAAUUGGAGAAUGAAACUUCCACAUACUCAUGUACACACAUAAUAAGCAUAGAAUAUGGAAAUCAAUUAUUUUUAUGACUCGGUUUUGUGGUCCCGAAACCACUUCCCGACUAGGGUCAAUUUUGGGCUGUCACAAGGAUUGAGGAUUUGAAAAGAAAGGUAGAAUAGCUCGAAAUGGCAUUGCAAAAAAGUGAACUCCAGGUGGAACUAUUGGAAACAAAUAAUGAGCGAUGGGAAGAACAGUUUCAUCGAUCUCAAGACCAGGUCAGGAAUAGAGAUUUAGUCAUGGGCGAAGCUGUGGCUCAGAUACGAGAAGUGGUUGAUCAUUUACAAAUCCUAGCGGUUCAAGGUGACGUGCUAAGUGUGAAAUAUGAGUUAGAGUCAGACCGGGGUCGUGAGCUGGCUUGGCUUCUUAAGAGGGUUAAAACUUUGAGCAUCAAGGCAAAGCCGUAUAUAUGAUCUGUUUUAUGUAAAGGAUUUUGUUUUCUAAUAAAGUCAUUCUAAAUGGAAUUGGAUCAGAAUCGACGCCUUUUUAGCUUUGCAUUCAUCUCAUGAAUUUGUAUUUAAUCGCAUCAUAUGCAUUAAAUUUCACAAAAAACCCUAAUUAAUUAGAAAUAGUAUUACAGUUACCCUGGAACAUCACUACUACACACAGAGAAAAACCAAAACUAUGGAUCAAAGGUUGGAAAAACUAGAACAAAUGCAGAAGGAAAUACAGGAUCAGUUGCAAGUAUAGAUGCAAGAACAGUUGGCCAAAAUCCAACAAGAUAUGAGGGAUCAGAUGCUGGAAUCUCAAAGGGAUAUGAUGAAUCAAUUAACUCGGUUACUGAUUAGAAGGACUGAAAAAGGGAAGAGCCUCAUGAUCCAUAUUGGGGAAGACAGCAAGGACCUUGCUUACCCUUUAGGUUUCACCCUAAUAAAUACCCAAUUACUACUAAAAAAGGUGUCUGUCAAUAUCAAACCCCAAUAUCAAACUGGUACUUCGACACCAAUAAAUUUCCCAACAUGCUCAAGUUCCAACCCCGAAGACAAUCAGGCAAACCCUGCAGUCCCUGACCUCGAUGAUGUAGCGGAAAUGGGAACAACAAGAGUAGAAUUCCCAAAGCAACUGGAAGACCGAUACAAAUGGCUAAAUUAGAAAUUUAAGGCGUUGAAAAGCACUGAUUAUCAUUGUGGAAUGGAUGCUAAGGAGUUAAGCCUGGUCCCAGAUUUGGUACUCCCUCUAAAGUUCAAAAUACCGGAGUUUGAAAAAUAUAAUGGGACUAGUUGCCCUGAGGCCCACAUUACAAUGUUCUGUCAGAGGAUGAUAGGAUAUGUUAACAACGAUCAGUUGUUAAUUCACUAUUUCCAGGACAGUUUGAAUGGGGCUGCGGCCAAAUGGUACAAUCAGCUGAAUCAUACCCAAGUUAAAUCAUGGAAGGACUUAGCACAGGCUUUCAUGAAGCAAUAUGGCCAUGUGACAAACAUAGUGCCUGACAGGAUCACGUUCGGAACAUGGAGAAAAAGUUAAGUGAAAGUUUUAGGCAAUAUGCUCAGAGGUGGAGAGAAGUUGCUACACAAGUCCAACCGCCACUGCUGGAAAAAGAAACAACCAUGCUCUUCAUUAAUACCUUGAAAGCACCUUUUAUUAUUCACAUGCCAAGGAGCGCAACUAAAAGUUUUGCGGACAUAGUGAUGUCCGGUGAAAUGAUAGAGAACGCGAUAAGAUGUGGAAAGAUAGAGGCUGGCGAAAGCACCAAGAAGUCGGCCUCGAUGAAAAGAGAAAAUGAAGUCAGCAAUGUGAGCACGGGUUAUGCAAAACCAAUCAUGGUAAACCAACCAAGAGCGGUAGCCAUGGGCCAACAAGCCUCCCCAAGAUAGGAGCCCAAUACAAUGCAAAACACGGAGAAGCCUCAAUUUACCCCCAUUCCAAUAAUGUAUCACGAGUUGUACAAAAGUCUAUUUGAUACACACGUUGUGUCUCUUUUCUACUUAAAACCGAUGCAACCCCCAUACCCCAAGUAGUACGACGUAAGUCCUCAAUGUGAAUACCAUGCGGGAACCACGGGACACUCGAUAAAGAACUACACCUCUUUCAAAAGGUUAGUCAAAAGGCUCAUCAAAAUGGGUGUUGUGAAAUUCGAUGAUGCACCUAGUGUAGGGAAUCCGUUACCCAAUCAUACUGAUAAUAGGGUAAAUGCAAUAGUUGAGAAUGUGGGGAAAAGAAUCAAGUUCAAUGUUAUGAAAGUGAAAACCCCGUUGAGAGAGGUUUGGAAGAAGAUGGUGGAAAGAAGGUUAAUCACGCAGGAUAUGGGGAAAAAUUUUGAGAUGUAAGAAAUUGUUGUGAGUUUCACAAUGAGGGAGAUCAUGAGAUUGAAAUAUGCAAUGAAUUCAGAGCCCUGGUGCAGGGUCUAAUAGACAACAAAGAGCUGGAGUUUUUUGAAUUUACCGAAUGAGAAGAUGUAUGCACCUCAGAGGGAGGGGCGAUAGAGAAGGUCUCUGAGGUCAAUCACCCAGUGGUGAUCAUCUCACGACCAAGAAUUAAUGAAGCUGUAGUAAAAAUGGCACAAGUGGCUUUUCCUUAUAAGGAUAGCAAAAGGGUGCCCUAGAAUUAUAACUGCAAUGUGAGAGGAACAUCACGCCAAACACAAAAGCCGAACUUGUAAAAAGGAAAUCCUUGAUGAUCGAACAAGGAGGAGAAAGGUUAGGACGACUGGUUAAUAAACUGGUAAUGGAGAAUGAAGCCAAGGAGUUUUUGAAAUUCCUAAAACAUAGCGACUAUAGGGUUGUGGAACAAUUAAACAGUAGCCGACACACAUAUCGGUAUUGGUUUUGCUCUUAAACUUGGAGGUACACUGUAACGCACUGAUGAAGCUGUUGAACGAAACCUAUGUCGCUAAUAACAUCUCAGUAAACAAGCUAGAUCGCCUUGUCAACAACAUAAGCACUGAUAACGUCAUCUAUUUCGGUGAGGAUGAGAUACCGCCAGGGGGCAUCGGAUCCACCAAUUCUCUGCACAUCACCACUCGCUACAAAGGGUAUACAUUACUGGGGGUACUAAUUGAUAAUGGAUCAGCAUUGAACGUCUUGCCCCUGUCCACAUUGAAUAGGUUACCUAUAGACAACUCUCAUAUAAAUACAUGCCAAAACAUAGUAAGGGCAUUCGAUGGCACUGAAAGGAAAGUAAUGGGAAGGAUUGAGGUACCUCUUCUGAUCGAACCAAACACAUACGAGGUAGAUUUCCUAGUGAUGGAUAUCAGGCCUUCUUAUAAUUGUUUAUUGGGGAGGCCUUGGAUUCACUCAGCGGGGGCAGUACCAUCAUCAUUGCACCAAAAGCUAAAGUUGGUGACGGAGGGCCGGCUAAUAAUGAUAAAUGUGGAGGAGGAUAUUAUCGCAUCCGUUACUAGUGAUGCGUCGUAUAUAGAAAAUGAUGGUGAGGUAAUAAAGUGUUCAUUUCGAUAAUUGGAAUUUGUAAAUGCGACUUUCAUAAUCGAAGGAGGUAGGGUCCUAAUGCCAAAAAUAUCUGAAGCUAUAAGGAUAAGCUUACAACUAACAGUUGGAAAAGGGGCAUUGCCUGGAAGGGGACUUGGAAAACAUCUACAUGGACGGGUUAAAGUGCCAGUUUUGGCUGAUAAACAGGAUCGUCUUGGCUUAGGGUAUAGGCCAGACACAAAGUAAAGGAGAAAGGAGGUGGAAAAGAGGCAAAAGAGACGAAGAGCACGAUUAGGUGGGGCCGAGGUCAAAUGGGAAUCAAUGACUUUUCCCCAUAUAUCCAAUACAUUUGUUGACAGGAGGAAUUAUCUAUCCUGAACCAAAGAUGACAGAAGAAGGAACGACUAAAGAUUUGAUGGGAAAUCUGAAUAUCAACGUCAUAUCUAAAGAGAAAGUGAUGGAAGGAGACCUAGCAAGCAUUCGCUCUUAUGAGCCUGGGAGUGUUCUGAACAACUGGACUAUGGAAGAAAUUCCUAUAGUUUUUAGAGCUAAUACAGAGUAAUGUUUAAAACACACUUGUUGUUUUAAAGCCUAGAAGCAAUAAGAAUCUUUUGUGAAAUAGGCUCAUGUUCAAAACGUCUUUAUUUUAAUAAAAAUACACUUUUAUGUCUUAUUCUAAGAAAAUAUUCUUUUAUCCUGAGCAAAUAUUCUUUUCUUGCAUUUCAUUCAUAAUUAUGCCAUACAAAUAAGCUACUCUUAGAUUCAUUUAUUUUUUGGAUAUCCCUUCAUGCCUACAAUAGGUCUCUAGAUAUCAAUGACAUGAGUGACGCUAUUACGGACCUAGAAUUCCCUUUUGAGCAAGACAUGUGUUUGAAGGGAUCUCAGGAUUUUAAAGAUGAUGGAGACUGUAACUUAUCUCCGGAUUUGUUAGAAAUGGUAGAGCAGGAAGAGAAAUAGAUCCUACCUCAUAAGGAGAUGAUAGAGAAUGUGACCUUGGAAGAAGGAAAAGAGGUGAACAUUGUAACUUACAUAACCGAGGAAACAAGAUGGGACCUCAUUGAAUUAUUGCAAGAGUUCAAGGAUUUCUUUGCGUGGUCAUAUCAGGAUAUGCCUGGGUUGAGCGCUGAGAUUGUGGUACACUGCGUCCCCAUAAAAGAGGAGUGCAAGCCAGUUCAACAGAAGCUCCGAAGGAUGAGACUCGAUGUUGCAAUAAAAAGAAGGGAAGAGGUCAAGAAGCAAUUUGAUACUAGGUUCUUACAAGUAGUUAAUUAUUCAGAAUGGGUAGCCAACGUUGUUCCCGUCCCUAAGAAAGAUGGAAAAGUACAGAUGUGUGUAGAUUACAGAGACUUAAACAACGCCAACCCAAAAGACAACUUCCCACUGCCUCACAUCGACACUCUAGUAGAUAACACGGUAGGUUACUUAUUGCUCUCCUUCAUGGAUGGUUUCUCUGGAUACAAUUAGCUAAAGAUGCAUCCUGAAGAUAUGGAAAAGACCACAUUCAUAACCCUGUGGGGAACAUUUUUCUAUAAAGUGAUGCAUUUGGGUUAAAAAAUUGCGGGAGCAACGUAUCAAAUAGCCAUGGUAACCUUGUUUCACGACAUGAUGCACAAGGAAAUUGAGGUUUACGUCGACGAUAUGAUCACAAAAUCCUGAACAGAAAAGGAGUAUGUACAGGUUUUGAGGAAAUUGUUCUUGAGGCUAAGAAAGUUUCAGCUAAAGCUCAAUCUAACAAAAUGUAAUUUCGGAGUUAGGUCAGGGAAAUUGUUGGGUUUCAUAGUGAAAGGGGAAUUAAGGUUGACCCAGACAAAGUCAAAGCUAUACAAGAAUUUCCUUUGCCGCAUACUCAAAAGGAAGUUUGAGGUUUCCUAGGAAGACUAAAUUACGUCGCUCGGUUUAUUUUACAACUAACCGAGAAAUGUGACCCCAUAUUUCAUCUUCUCAAGAAACACAACCCAGGUGCAUGGGAUGAUGAGUGUCAAAAAACCUUUAACAAGGUUAAGCAAUAUUUGUCCAAUCCCCUAGUACUAAUGCCACCUAGUCCUGGUAGGCCACUGAUACUAUAUUUGAUAGUAUUUGACAAAUCAAUGGGAUGUGUGCUCGGCCAACACGAUGAGAAAAGAAAUAAAGAAAAGGCGAUAUAUUACCUUAGUAAGAAAUUCACUAAGUGUGAAGUGAGAUACUCGCCAAUUGAGAAAUUACGUUGCGCCUUGGUUUGGACAACUCGGAGAUUAAGGCAGUACAUGUUGUACCAUACGACUUAGUUAAUCUCGAAACUGGACCCUCUAAAGUAUAUAAUAGAGCAACUACUUUAAGUGGAAGAAUAGCUCGAUGACAAAUUUUGCUUUCUGAAUUUGACAUUAUCUAUGUAAACCAAAAGACUAUGAAAGGGAGUACAAUAGUAGAUUUUCUAACCAAUAGAGCUCUAGAAGAUUACGAGCUUUGAACUUUGAUUUUCCUAACAAAGAUCUAAUGUAUGUGGCAACUAUUAAAGAAGGUACUCCAGAAGAUCAUCCUUGGAAAUUGAACUUUGAAGGAGCAUCGAACGCAGUUGGCAACGGAGUUGGGGCAGUCCUGAUAUCCCAAAAUGGAGAUCAUUAUCCAUUUAAUUGCAAAUUAAACUUUUAUUACACAAACAAUAUGGAAGAAUACAAAGCAUGUAUCAUGAGAAUCCGUUCAGCCGUCGAACGGAAAGUCAAAGUGUUAGAGGUGUAUGGGGAUUCUGCGCUAGUGAUCUAUCAGCUUAAGGGUGAAUGGGAAACAAGGGACCCCAAGCUGAUUAGUUACCAAAAGGUGGUCCUGAAGUUAAUUGAGGUGUUUGAUGAUAUCGCUUUCUGUUACUUCCUGUGAGAUGAAAACCAGAUGGCUAACGCCUUGGCUACAUUAGUUUCUAUGAUUAGAGUAAAUAAAUAGAGGAUAUGAAACCGAUCCAGACGAGUAUUUACGAGGCUCCAGCUCAUUGCUGUAAUAUCGUCGAAGAAGAGGAGGGAGAUGAUUAUCCUUGGUAUCAUAAUAUUAUUUGAUAUGUGAAGAACCGUGAAUACCUUGAUCAGGCAACUGAAAAUGAUAAGAGAACGUUGAAGAGGAUGGCCAGUGACUAUGUAUUAGACAGAGAGAUCCUAUAUAAAAGGAGGAAGGAUCAGGUGCUGCUAAGAUGUGUUGACGCUGUUGAAUCUAAUAAAAUCCUGGAAGAAAUCCAUGAAGGUGUCUACGGGAUGCAUGCUAAUAGGUUUACAAUGGCCAGGAAAAUCAUGAGAUUCGAGUAUCACUGGUCCAUGAUGGAAGGAGAUUGCAUUAGUUAUGCCAAGAAAUGUUAUAAGUGCCAAAUUUAUGGAGACAAGAUCCAUGUGCCUCAUUCACCUCUUCAUGUUAUGACUUACCCAUGGCCUCUCUCAAUGUGGGGCAUGGACGUCAUUGGGCCGAUUUCGUCGAAGGCUUCUAACGGACAUCGAUUCAUCUUUGUGGUCAUCGAUUAUGUCACCAAGUAGGUAGAGGCCAAGUUCUUGAAGAAGGAGAUCAUAUGUCGAUAUGACGUGACAGAAAUGAUCAUAUCUAACAAUGCGUUAAAUUUAGAUAACAACAUGAUAGUGGUGGUCUGCAGUCGGUUCAAAAUUAAGCACUACAACUUGUCACCAUAUCGCCCGAAAAUAAAUGGUGCAGUUGAGGCGACUAAUAAAAAUAUCAAGAAGAUCGUGGGGAAAAUAACUGAGACCUACAAGGAUUGGCAUGAAAAGUUACCAUUUGCUCUCUAUCCUUAUCUAACAUCUGUCAGACCUACUACCGGGGCAACACCUUAUUCUUUAGUUUAUGGGAUGAAAGCAAUCUUGCCUAUUGAAUUAGAAAUUCCUUCUCUCUGGGUUUUAUCAGAAUUGAUGCUGGACAAAGCAGAAUGGAUCCAAUCCCGGUAUGAUCAGUUGAACCUGAUUGAAAAAAAGAGGCUGAAGGUAAUGGUCAAAUGUACCAGAAGCGAAUGAUGCAAGCUUACAACAAAAAGGUUCGCCCUAGAGUAUUCCAUGAGGGGAACUUGGUAUUGAUAAAGAUUCUCCCUAUGCAAAAAGAUUUCAAAGGGAAAUGGAUGCCAAACUGGGAAAGACCUUAUUUGGUAAAGAAUGCUUUUUCAGGAGGAGUAUUGAUAUUAACUGAGAAGGACGGUAAGAGUCUGCCUAACCCAAUAAAUUCGGAUUCAGUUAAGAAGUACUUCACCUAAAAAGUGAGAGGCCAAGGCGAAAACCCGCAAAGGGUGUGAUAAACCAUAAUUUAUACAUAUUUCUAUCCUAUGCUUAGCACAUUUUAUGGAUGAUUUUUCCUUACAAUUGGUUAAUUCGAUGCUCGUAAUGCUUUAAUUUCAUAUUUUAUACUUAGGUGAGCAUAGGAGAGUGAAAGGAACGAGAAACGGGCCAAAAAUAGAGAAAAUGGGCCAACGUACAAAAUCAACACGGCCUGGACCUCCUCACACGGACAGAGCACACGGCCGUGUCAAUUUGGCAGAAUCGAAGCACGACUCACACGGGUGGACCACCGCCCGUGCCUAUUUAACAAUCUUGACCACGGCCUGAAGUAAUCGCACACGGGUGUUUCCCUGCCGAGCCCAAGUUUAGUCCAAUUUGGAAAAGGCCAAUUUUGAGGGCUCUUAGGCAUUCCAAAGCCUAUAAAUACACCCUAGAAGAGAAGAAGAAUGGGGGACACAGAGGAGGAAACAGGGAACUGCUCAAGAAAAGCCGAUUGAUCCAUCUCAGAAGUUGGAUUCAUCAUCAAGACUGAAGAUCUCCCCUCAAUUUCCCUUCAGGAGUUUUGGGUUUUUAUUUAUGUUUGUAUUCAUUAUUCUUCUGAGAUGUUUACCUUUUUAGUUAUGAACUAAAACCCCUAAAUACCUAAGGGGAAUGAAACCUAAGAUAGAUCUUGUUAUUAUUAUCUGAAUUGUAUGAUAAAUAUUUGACUUGUUCUUAAUUAUGUGUUCUUAAUUCUUGUUUUGAUAUUCCAGUAUAUUGAUUCAAGUUAAGCUCUUAUUCAGAGGAGGAAUAGACCCGUCUAAGAGUACAUUUGUCAUAAUUAAGCAGAGUUGAUUGCACGCCUAGAGAUAGAGUGACAAGAUUUUACCGGAUUAGGGUGAAACCUAAUAAGGGGAUCCAUAGAUCGAGUUAAUACAACCAUAGGGAGUUAAUUAGAAAGAGAUUUCAAUUAUUCAACCUAUGGUUAGAUGUUGUUAGUCUCGAUAGGGAUAAUACUAUAACUUAGGGAUUUCUACAGAUCAAGGCAAAUGAAUAAAUCAUCCGAUUCAGAGUCAAAUAACAAGUGAAGUCUAGGUGGAUUUUUCCUUAGGUAUUGUCUUAAUUCAAUCGUUUUUUUUUUCAAAAGUAAUUCCGCAAUUCUAUUUUCUGUGAUUUCUUAGUUUAGUUAAUUAGUUAGACAAACAAAAAAAAAUUAUUUUUUAGGCUAGGUAAUAAAAAGAAAGUUAAUACUAGUACUUUUAGUUCCUUUGGGUUCGACAAUCCGGUCUUGCUAAAGCUAUACUACUGUUUGAUAGGUACACCUGCCUUUAUUGUGAUAAUAGUUAGUUUCAAGAACGAUUCAUUAUAAAUAUUUAAAACCUAUCACGAAUAUCACGUAUCAGGGCGCUUUCAAAAAAAAAGGAGAGGCCGAGGUGAAAACCAACAAAGGGCGCCUUGAGGCCAAAGGGGUUUUAAAUUGAAAACCCGAAAAGGGAAAUUCAAAUUUUGAUCGAGGAUGAGGCAUAUGGUAGUCUUGCUGUGCUUGAAUUAAUGAAGAGGAAGUAUGCUACAUCUUGGGGCAUCAAAAAAGUACUCUAGAUCUCCUAGGCACAUGAUAAGCUCAAAAUGGUCCUCAAAGAGUUCGUACGGAGAAGCUCAGGCUGCGAUAUUAGGGCACUCUUUUUUUCCAUUACCUAUUUUUUUUUGUACUCCGACAAUAUUUACUUUCUUUGAUUAAUCCAUUCUUUUCGAAUUUUGUUCCUAAUAAAUUUCAGUUUUAUCCAUCUUUAUAUUCUCUUUUAAGCGUUUCAUAUUGAAAUAAUGAUUAAUUACUUUCACAAAAGGAGUUUUGCAUAUUACUCUAGAAGUUUCUAAACAGUGUAAGGACCUAAAACAGGACUAUUGUUUAGAACUUACCGAAUUUAAGGGUUGGAAAUAUUUGAGUCCAAAUUGAGAUUAUCUCUUUGAAUUUCUAGUCAAAGAUAUCGGUUGAACAAGAAGACAAGAUAUCACGUCAAUAAUGAAAACAAGCGAUGUCAACCAAGCAUAAGAGGGGAUCAUUCUCGAGAAAAGAGAAAUGAUAUUUCUCAUUCAUGCAAAUAUUAGGUGUACACAUCUGGUAAUGACACCAGGGGAAUGGUGUAAUAGACCAAAUUGAUGAAAGAUUCAGAUCCUAUACUCUUGAGUUGCAGGGGAGGGUUUGAAGAUGGUACAAACCUUAGGUCCCAGAAGUAUAGUGAAAUGGACCCUGAAAUUAUAAUGGGGAAAACCAGUUGAGCAAAAUGGGUUGUUUCUACGGGUUUUUUGUUGAAAAGUGCUAGCCGAGCAAAAAGGCAGCAUAGUAUGUCAGUGAUAAAACUCUGAUGAAUAACGAGUAAUGACACUUUAAGCAUUUAAAAAGGAAUCAUUCUCAUGACAUUUCUACAUUCAUAUCAUUCGUAGCACAUUUGGCUAGGAGCAUCUGAUUCAUUUUGAUCAUAGCAUCCUAAUCAUUUGGCAUAAACAUAGGCAUAUGAAACCGAGUCUACAGGACAUAUCCCCCAGAGGAUGGUGUAGCAACACCAGUGAAAAUUGCAGAUCUUAUCUCCCUAAGCAGUAGUGGAGCAGAUCAAAGAUAGCAAAUCUUAUCUCCAUGUAGCGGCAAUGGACCAGAUUUAAGCCACCAGCCUUAUCUCCCUGAAGUUGCAGUGGAGCAAGUUCAAGAUACAAGUCUUAUCUCCUUGAAGUUACAGUGGAGCAGACUGAAAAUUGCAGAUUUUAUCUCCCUAAGCAGUAGUGGAGCAGAUCGAAGAUGGUGAAUCUUAUCUCCAUGUAGCGGCAAUGGAGCAGAUUUAAGCUACCAGCCUUAUCUCCCUGAAGUUACAGUGGAGCAAGUUCAAGAAACAAUUCUUAUCUCCCUGAAGUUGCAAUAGAGCAGGCUAAAAAUUGCAUAUCUUAUCUCCCUAAGCAGUAGUGGAGUAGAUCAAAGACAGUGAAUUUUAUCUCCAUGUAGCGGCAAUGGAGCAGAUUUAAGACCACAAACCUUAUCUCCCUGAAGUUGCAGUGGAGCAGGUUAAAAUUACCAAUUCUUAUCUCCUUCAAGUUUCAGCAGAGUAGAUCGAAGCUAAAAAUCUUUUUUCCCUGAAAUUACAUUGGAGCGGAUCGAAGCACCAAUUCCUAUAUCUUUGAAGAUAUAGUGGAUUGGAACGAGGUUACUUAAAGGGGAAGAAAAGAAGUGCCGAGACUCAGCAGGUCCAGGCAAAAUUGGCCCUUUUAUAGUCUUUGCUCCAUUCUCGUUACACGACAAUGGGCAAAGAGGGGAAGUUGUAAUAGACCAAUUUUGGCCUGGGCCCGGAAAAAAUAAUAACUGAAUAAAUAAAGCCAAAGGAUGCAACCGGUCGAAAACAAGCCAAAAAUGGCCAAAUUGAAAGACAAUUAUUAAACUGGGGCCAAAUCAAAAAGAUGGAGAAAGCCAAAGAGUUACCAGAUUUUGUUGACUUGGUAAAAAGCCAAAAAUAGGAAGAUAUCAUUUUAUUUUAUUUAUUUAUUUUUAUUUUAUUUUAUUUUAUUAUUAAAUUAGUUAAGCUAUUUUUAGUAAACCCCGUGUAUAUAAAUAGGGGUAUUUUGUUCUUUGAAAAGGGGAGGAAUUUAGUGCAAAGAAAAAUUUUCGGAAAGGUGAUUCUCUUUUUUCGAUUAGACUUAACAUCUCGUGUUUUUUUUUCCUUUCUGUUUUUCUCUUUUUUUUAUUUUUUUUAAAAAAAUCCAUUUGCAAAGAAGAAAAUAAAAAAGAAAGGGAUAAAAGAGGGGUACCUGAACUGUUGAUAUGUUGUCGGAGUCUCUCCUUUGUCAAAAUCAAAUCCGACAGAAAGCCCUUUCUUUUUGAUUCUUGGUGGUUGAGAAUGCGAAACCCUUGAACAGGGCUCUUAUGGGAGUGAAAAGGGGUGUUUAGUUUUUUUAUUUCUGCUUUUAAAUAACUAAGUGCUUUAAUUUUAGGGUUUAUUUUUAGUUUUAUAUUGUAUCUGAAAUGACACUAUUUAGGGCCUAUUUUAGUGGCUCCAAAACGGUGCCGUAUAAGGCGACCCGAUUCAACUCGACCCGGUACGCAUGAGGAUCCGCAGGUUUUUCUUAAAGGGGAUAUCUGCACGAUUAGUCUCUUUCUUGUGCGUAGUCCUAUGAUUGGGCCCUACUCCAAUUUUCUUAUUCUUAUUUUGUUACUAAAAGUUGAGCAUUGUUUCAAAUUAGUUCGCGUUUAAACACUGCGUUUCGAAGAUUUGGGGCAUUUGCAUUUUUAAUCCUCGUGUGUUGUCGCGCACUUUAUUUUAAUCCUUGAUUUUGUUUAAUAACUUUAUUUGUUUGUAAAUCAUUCCUUUGAUUUUGGUUUCUACUUCAAUUGAGUCUGUUUUUUAAUUUAUGUGUUUUAUUCUCUAUAAUUUAUUCAUUAUUUAUCGUUAAAAGAAUUUGUUUUAACAUUUUUAUUCUUUCGUUUGAUCUCGCAUAGUUUUAGUGUUUUUGUUACUUACUUUUGUAUAUUUUUAUACUGUUUUUCAAUUUUACUUAUUUUAGAUUCUUUUUUAUAUUUCUAUGUUUUAAAAAUUUAUGUGAUAUUUAAUUUAAAUAUUUUUAUGCAUUUUAUAUAUUUACACAUUAUUUAGCUUAAAAUUAUUUUCUUAUUCUAUAUAUAUUAUUAAUGUUAUAUUCUUUUAUGUAUAUAUUUUCUUUAAAAAUCUAUUUAUAUAUAAUUUAUUUCCUAUAAAGACCCUAUUUUAUCAUAUAUUUUUGUUUAUUUCAAAUACUUUUAUAUAUUUGUAUUUUCAUGUAUCAAUUAUUUAUAUUAAGUUUUUAUUUUAUGUAUAUUAUUUAUGUAGAUUGACAUAUGUAUUAUUUUGUAUAUUACUUACCUUAUAAUAUUCAUUUUAAAAUUCAUUUGUAGAUUACUAUUUAAUAUAUUAUUUAUUUUUACCUUUUUACCUAUUUUAAACUUUUAUAUCUAUUACUCGUUUUAAAAUUUUUUGUACUGUUUGUAUAGUGAUGUUUUCAAAUUUUCUUUCUUUCAUACUAUUAAUUUUAUUUUAUUUUAAAACUUGUUAUAUUUCAUUUGUGUAAUUUGCUUGGAAUUUCUUUUAAAUUGGCUUUUAAUUCAUUAGCCUUUGAUUAUUAAUAUUAGUAUUUGUAUAGUAUAUGAUGGGUUGCCAUUGCAUGUACCCUAAUUUGCUCCGUUGUGUUUUUUUAUUAUUUUUUAUCAUUCAUGUAACAUUAUUACCAGGUGUUUUUAUUUCAUGCUCGAUACUAUGCUUGUAUGUUUCUUAUUAUUACAUCAGGUUUUAAAUUCCAAUUUUUGCCCAAUAUCGAUUGCCUUUUAUCCUUAAGUAAACUAAACGAAUAUAUUUUGAGUCGGUUUUAUUAUCGCUUAUUCGAAAACUUCUCAAAAUAAGACAAUAUUUGGUGUUUCGAAAUUUGAGAAAUCGUGCCUUAACGAGCUGGGUUUCGAUUUUCUGUUUGACCUAAUAACCAAGUAUCCUUGUAAAAUUUUGCUCGUGCUUUCUUAAAUUAAAAAACAAGGCAAUAUUUUGUGUUUGGAAAUUCGGGAAAUAGUGCCCUAACCUGCUCGGUGUCAAUUUUCCGUUUGACCAAAUAACAGAAUAUCUUUUUUUUUAGGCAUGAGCUUUGUAAACCCUGAGAGGAUCUUGGUUUCGAAGGUUUAAAAUGCCGCAUCCUAACGUAUUAGACAUGAUAUUUUGUUCUUUCGGAAAGGAGAAUCUUAAAAUCUAACUGGAGUUGUUCGCACAUUUUUAAAGGGAUCAUAUUUUAAUAUUUUUUCAAAUUUUCAACUUUAGGACAUUAAUGAGUCAAUUGGUACCAAUUUUGGGUGUUGCGAGGGUACUAAUCCUUCCUCGUACGUAACCGAAUCUCGAACUCGUUUUCUAUAAUUUCAUAGGCCAAAAUCAAUAUUUUAAAUAAAAUAAAGUGUUUUAUAAGGUGAUCCAAUCACACUUAAACAAAAGGAUUGGUGGCGACUCCAUUUUCGUUUUUAAAGUCGAUCCCCAUUUCUCAAAAUUAAAAAUGGUUUCGAUAGUUCCCAUUUGAAAUACGUUUAUUUAGGUGAUUGUUCCACUUUGCUUGUGAUUAUUUCAGUAGAACUGACAAAAGAUCAAGAAGAGCAACUAAUUGUUGUUCUAAAGAAAUUUAAGAAAGCAAUUGGUUGGACCAUAGUUGAUAUUCGAGGCAUAAGCCCUUCAUUUUGCAUGCACAAAAUUAUUCUAGAGGAAGGUGAAAAAGCUCGAUUUGAUGGGCAAGGGAGGCUCAAUCCUAUUAUUAAGGAAGUUGUGAGAAAGGAAGUGAUCAAAUGGUUAGAUGUAGGAAUCAUCUAUACUAUUUCAGAUAGUUCGUGGGUAAGUCCGGUGUAAUGUGUACCAAGGAAAGGUGGAAUUACGAUUGUUGAGAAUGAUCGUGAUGAAUUGGUCCCAACAAGAGCUAUUACUAGUUGGAGAAUUUGAGUUGACUAUAGGAAGCUAAAUAAAGCCACUCAGAAGGACCAUUUUCCGUUGCCUUUUAUGGAUCAGAUGUUAGAUCGACUAGCAGAUAAUGUAACAGCCCGAUUUUGACCCUAAUCGAAACGGUAGUUUCGGGACCACGAAUCUGAAUCAGAAAAAUGUUUUAAAUUAAAUUUUGGUAUUAGAUAUGUGUGAAUUGAUAUCCAUGAAAGUUCCGUAUCUUAAUUUUUCUGUUUAGAUGCCGAAUUAUAAAGAAAGGGUGUAAUUGCACAAUAGGUAAAAUUUGAUUAAUUAUGUGUGAAUGCUGAAUUGUUAAUGGUCUUUUAUUUUGGGGGAGUUAAAAUGCUAUUAAACCAAGACUCAUGCAUGGACACAAUCGGUCAAUAGAUAGUGGAAAUAGCAUAAUUUUAUAAUGGCUAUUUUGGUAGCUUAAUAAUUAUAUUAUCACAUUAACUUAGUAAAAUAGGAAGUGGGUGGAGUUUUCAUUUUUAGAAAAACCGUAGAUAGCCAAGAAAAAGAAAGAAAUAGAUUCCUUGCAUUCGACCCUUGUCUAGUUUAAUUUAAAGGUAUGUUUCAGUUUAAUUUUUAGAAAUUUUUGCACAUUUCAGAUGAUUGAUAAGUUGCUUAGUUAACCCAUAGUUUAACUUUUGGAAUUGGUAAGGAAAUGGUAUUCGGCCGUGGAUAAAGGUUUGAGAAAAAAAAUUAGUUUGAAGUUGCAUAAUAGAAGAGAUGUGUUAUAUUAUUGAGUUUUAUACUAGAAGUUUGCAUGAAAUUAACUAAAUAGGGCUUAUUUGCUUAGUUGAUAAAUUGAGGAGAUAAAUUUCGAAAUAGAUUAAAAGGAAGGAUUUAUUUAAACUUAAGGAGUAUUCGGCCUAAGUUAGGUUGGAAUUUUUGAUGUUUCAUGUUUUUGUUAUAUUGGAUUAAAAUGUAAAAAUGUACAAUGUGAAGGGCAAAUUGGUAAUUUGCUUGAUUAUGAGUUUCGGAGUUAAUUUAAUAAAAAUUUCUUUGAAUGAGUUCAAUUUGAAUUUUUAAUAGAUCAAGAGCAAAGAGGAUCGGGUUUGGAUAAGGGAAAGGCGAAAAUAGUCGAAUAGUCGAAAAAUAUAGUCCGUCGAUAUUCGAGGUAAGUUACUAAGCAAAUAAUUGUUGUUGACUUAUAUAAAUGCAAUUUAUAUAUAUACAUAUAUACAUGCUGAUUUGGAAAAUGCAAAAUGUUAAUUAUGCUAAAAGUGAAUGUUUUGAAUAGGCAUGAAUGGAUAUAUAUGUGAAUUAUCGAGCACUAAGUGUGCGAAGUAAAACUAUCAAGCACUAAGUGCGCGAUUUCAUUGCAUUGCGAGUUAAAUAAUAGCACUAAGUGUGCGAAUACAACAAUUGAUCGAAAGUGGCCGAACGAGUUAUUUAUCAAAUGCAAAAGUAGUAAGUGGAAUAUUUAAAUUCGUAAUAUGUAGGUAUGUAUCGAACCUAUGUGGUUGAUAUAAUUGAAUUUGGAAUUACGGGGUUGGUUGUAGCAAAUGUAAAAUGUAUGAAAGAAUAGUAAAAUGAAAGAUGAAGGAGUUAAAAGGAAUGAAUUGAUAUAUUAUAUGCAUGUUAUAAUGUUUGAAUAUUUAUUUUAACUGCAUAUGAACAUUCGGCUAAUUAUGAAAAUGUGAGAUUGGAAGUGAUGAGUAGUUAUGUGAAAGAGUAUAUGUAUAUUCGAAAAUGUUGGAAAUUAUAUGUGAAUGAUUGAUAGAUAUAUGGACUGAUAAGUUUGGAUGAAUAUGUGAUUAUGGAAGUAUGACUCGGUUAUUUAAUUGGACUAUCAAUGUCUUUUAAAUUGUUUAAAUUGCAUACAACUUACUAAGCUAAGAUAGCUUACUUUGGGUGUGUGUUUACUUGUUUUUACUUUAUAGAUUUUAGAAAUCGUUACGUGCUCGGGGAUCGUCCGUGAAGUUCACCACACUAUCGUCUAUUUCAGUAUUAACGAGUGUUUAAUUUGAAUUUAUGGUGUCGAAACCAAUUUUUAGAUUUAAAGAAAAACGGGAUCAACUUGAAAAACGAAAAAAAUGUGUAGUCGCCACCGAUCCUUUAUUUAGGUGUGAUUGGGUCACCUAAUUAAACACUUUGUUUUAUUUAAACCAAUUUUGGCCUACAUAAAUAUGAGAAAACGGGUUCGGGAGUCGAUUACGUAUGAGGAAGGACUAGCACCCUCACUACGCCCAAAAUUGGUACCAAAUUGAUUAAAUAUUGUCCUUAUAUCUAAAAUUUGAGAACGCUUUUGAAAUGUGGUUCCUCUUAUAAACAUUUGAAUAGCUUAAGUUGGUCGUCAGAAUUCUUUUGUUUCAGAGGUAUACAGCAUCACAUCCAGCACGAUAGGACAUUGUAACAUACCGAUUUUUUAGGGUUGAUCGGAACAGUGGUUUCGGGGCCACCAAAUCCGAACGAGUAGGUUGGUAAAUAUUAUAUUUAAUAUUUACGAGUUAAUUGUGAUUUUAAAAAUGUUUUUGAUAUUGUGAUUUUUGUUUUAUAAGCGAUUUAUUAAGUUCAAGUGGUAUGACCCUAAGGUCAAGUGGGUUUAGAAAAUAAGGUAUCGGGACCUUGUUUCUAUAAACCGAGUCGUAAAUAUUUUAUAAAUAUUUACGUAGUGGCAAUAAGAUGGUAUUAAAGUUUCGGUGAAAAAUUUUAUCGUUUUGAUAGUUAAUUAAACAAAAAGGACUAAAUUGUGUAAAGUGCAAAAGUUGUGUUCUAUAACCUAAAGGUAUUAAAUAGAUAUAGAACUUAAAUGUAGAAGUCCUUAUUUGGUAAUUAGCCCAUUAAAGAGAUAGUGGGAUAUGAUGGCUUGGCAUUUGGUGUAAUAAAUAAAGUGUAUAAAGGUUAAUAUUGUAAAUUGGUUAAAAAUAAUAAUAAAAUGAAUAUAAUAAAAGAAUCAAGGUGUCAUCUUUUUCAUUCUCUUUUUACCAGCCGAAUAUGAAGGCUUGAGAAGCCAUGGAAGAAGCUUCCAACUUUCAGCUAAUGCAUGGUAGGCAUUUCUAGUCUCGUUUUUAAUUAUUUUUAUAUUUUUGGGAUCGUUGUUGCUUAAUCUAUCUAAUGAGGGGACUAUUUUGCAAAACCAUUGAAUAGUUUGAUAUUUGCCAAUGAUGAGUAUAAUAGGGCUUUGAAGUUUAAUGGAAGAAUAUGAGUCCUUGUUGAUAGUUAAACACUUUUUGUUAAGUGAAUUUUUGUGAAAUUGACAAUUAAGGGCUAGAUUGAUAAAUGUGAAAACUUUGUGGUUAAAAUGUCAAAUAAAUGAAAUUUGUGGGCUGCUAGAGACACUAGUGAUAUUCGUCUAUAGUAGAAUUUUACUCAAUUUCAUGAAUUUGCAUUUUUAUGAUAUAGGGACUAAAUUGUAAAGAAGUUGAAAUAUUAGGGGCAAAACUAUAAUUUUGCCAUAAAGUGAAUUAUGGACUGUUUUGAUACCAUGAACAUUUGGCUAAGCUUAAUUAUAGUUAAAAAUGGUUAAUUGCAUGUUUUGAGCUCAGGGACUAAAAUGAAUAAAAGUAAAACUUUAGGGGUAAUUUUGUAAAAAUGACAAAAAUGACCAAAUUGUAUGAAAUGAGGUGUUUUAAUGUCUAAAUUAAUAUACUGAAUGAAAUUAUUAAUUUAGAUCAAGAUCGGGUGGAAAAUCGAGAAAAAUGAGAAAAUUACCAAAAUGCCCCUAAACUUUGGUAUCUCUACAAUUUAGCCAGGUAAGUUUGUAUGCAAUAAGCAUUGUUAAAUUGAUGUUUCUAAUGCCUUAAUAUUGUAUAAAUUGUAUAUACGUGAAUAUUUUAAUGUCUAACGACAUAUCGAAAAAAUGUGGCACUUAGUGUGCGGGGCAAUCAAAUAUGGUACUCAGUGUACGAAAUAUUGAGAAUGGCACUUAGUGUGCGAGAUAUUGAGAAUGACACUUAGUGUGCAAAAUAUCGAAUGAUUCAAAGGGAAAUUAUAAAUUGUGAUUGAAUGAUUAAAUAGAGCAAAGUGAACAGGUAUACAUGCUAUAUUAUAUGAAUUGUUUAUGAGACGACUUUAUUAUGGUGAUAUUUGGCUUUGAGCCUAGCAAGCUUUAAGCUGGUGAAUAAUGUUAUCGGGUUUAAAACCUAGCAGGCUAAAUGCUGGUGAUUUGAUAAAAGUCUAAGACUAUGAGACCUUGUGUUAAAUCGGCAAUUGAAUUUGUUCAAUGCAUUAAGUUGGCUAGGUAUGUGAUAUAUUCUUAUGCAUGUUAGAUCGAUUGGAAUUGAAUCAUGAAUGUGAAAUGAGAAGCAUAGGGGAAAUGCCUAUGUCAUAUAUGUGAGUAAGGGCAAAACCAUCGUAAAUUAUCGAUAAGGGUGGACUAUGUGCGGAAUCAUCUUAUAAUUGCUAAUUUGAGCGGUUGUGUGUGAAUCAUUGAGCAUGAUGUAUUGUAUUGAGAUUAUGCUUGAGUGAAAUUAUAGAUAUGUGAUGAAAUUGAUCGGUAAUAUACAUGUUUAAAUAAUGUGAAUGCAAAGGAUGUGUGAAAGAGUAAAUUUGUAAUAAAUCUGCUUCAGACAGCAGCAGUAACGUGAUUUUGGAAAAUCACCAUAAAUUGUUGGAGUUGAGUUAGAAGCUGAAUAAAUUUAAUGAGUCUAGUUUCUUAUAAAAGAAACCGUGUAAGCAAAAGAAUUGCUGAUAAUGAGAUAUUUGAAGUGGCGUGGGAUAGAGUCAAAUGACUUCGGGGUCCCCUGUUCUGUUUUUAGAAAAUCAUUAUAAUUUGUACAAAAAUGGUUAUAGGAUAAAAUUUAUAUGCUUAGACUCCUUAAUGAGUCUAGUUUCAAAUGAAAUCAAAUAGAACAUAUUUUGAAUUUUGUAAAAUGAGAAAUUUGAUUCGUAGUGAAGAGUGGUCAGAUUAUUCAAACAGUGAAACAGGGGAAACUUUAAGAAAAAUCUGGUAUUGAUUGGCCAAACCUAAAAUUCUGAAAAUUUUAUGGAUGGAAUAUAUAUGAGUCUAUUUUCAGGGAAAAUUAACGGCAAUUGAUUUGGAGUUUUGUAGCUCCAGUUUUAAAUAAUUUAGUGACUACUGCUCAGGAAGACAACUUGUAGUGAAUUUGUGAUUAUGUUGUAAACAUUGAUAAAACUUGUUAAUGAGUUGCUUAUUGUUUUCUUAUGAACUUACUAAGCGUAAAUCUUACUCCCCUUUUCUUUCCCAUAUUCCCUAGGGUUACCAGGUUAGCUCAGGUUGGAGGCCGUCAGAGAUAUUAUCACAUUGUCAAGUCUAUGCUAUCGGCGUAAGUAAAUCUUAGUGUUUCGAGUCUAUGGCAUGUAUAGGGUUGUAAAGUUGAGUAAGUAAAUGAUACAAGACUAAGAUAUUGGUAAAUAUUUAAUAAUGCCUCAUGAAUAUUUUGGGCCUUGUAAGCCCGAUUAAAGGAUAAUAUACGUGUGUAUGAAAAGUUUAAAAUUGAUCAAAAAUUUUUACAGUCUGGUUUUAUAUAAAUGGAUGAGUUUAAAUCUGGUAGCACCUCGAACCCUGUUCUAGCAAGGGAUACGGGCGAAGGGUGUUACAUUUUAUUGGUAUCAGAGCCAUGGUUUAGUCGGCUCUAGGACUACCAUGGCGUAUGUGAGUCUAGCUGUACAUGCCAUAUUUGACCUGCGAUAGUGUGAUAUCUCCUGACUCUGACUAAAAUUAUUUGAAUAGGACAGAUAAGUCUUUCAAUCAAGCUAAUUUUAAUAUUAUAGAAUAUGUACUCAGAUGUUUGAAUGAAAUUGUGUUCUAUACUGAUUUGAUUAAAUUAAAGUUGGCUCUGAAAUGUUUAAGUGUUCAUGAAUAUAUGAAUCCAAAGUUAAAUGAAAUGAUAUGUUCAAAGUGCACAUAUGUGAUGUUUUAUAGACUUGGUUAAGUCACUUUAAUGUGCAACAACAAGUGAACAUAGGCACUGUGUGUGUGAGUUCCGUAACCGAGCACUGUGUGUGCGAGAUCGGUUGUUGAGGCACUGUGUGUGUGAGUUCCGUAACCAAGCACUGUGUGUGCGAGAUCGGUUGUUGAGGCACUGUGUGUGCGAGUUUCGUAACCGAGCACUGUGUGUGCGAGAUCGGUUGUUGAGGCACUGUGUGUGCGAGUUUCGUAACCGAGCACUGUGUGUGCAAGAUCGGUUGUUGGGGCACUAAGUGUGUGAAAUGAGAUCAUGUAAGACCUCGUUCGAGACGAAGGCAUUGAUUUGAAUGUGUUUCUAAAUAAAAAGGACUUAUGUGAGAAGCUUUGAAUAUAUGUGUGGCUUAUUUUAAGUGAUUAAUUAUUGAAUGAUGCAAAUAAGUGGGUUUGCAUGUCAAAUUGCCACUUUUAAUGUUAGUGGCCGGCCAUGAUGGUUUUGGUGAGCAAAAUAAGCAUGUUUUAUAUGUAUAAUAAUGAAUUGAUAUUUUUUUUAAGUAGUUUAUUGAUAUAUUUAUUAUUAUAUAGUUAUUGAUAAAAAUAAAAUAAGAAUGGGGGGAAGAAAACAAGAACUCAUCUUUGUUUCUUCACCUAGCCGAAUUUCAUAAAAAGAAGAAGAGUGAAGGAUGGUUUUGGGGGACCAUUCGGUCAAUUGGAGGCAAAUUUGAAGGUAAUUUGAUGUGGUUUUCUAAAUUGUUGAUGAAUUUGUGUUUCUUUUUUUCUUUUCUAACGAAACCCACUUGAUAAAUUUAAUUUUUAUGAGGCAUUUUAGAUUCGGCCUUAGUGAAAAUGAGUGAGGAAAUUUGAGUUGAGGAUAGAAAAUAGUAAACGAAUGUUCAAUGGACAAUUUGAUACCAAAAUUCAUAUGUUUAUGAGCUUGUUUUUGAAAAGUAUGUUACAUGUGAGUGAUUAGUUCAUGAAGGGAUUUUCGGUUAUGUUGUUUUGUAUGAGUAAUGGAUUGUUGAGUUCAUGCUAUUAUGAAUAAAACUGAUUAAGAGAGGCUUGAGAUAAUUAAAUAUGCAUGUUGGUGGUAAGAUGAGCAUUCAGUUUUUAUCAUGGAAGCAUAGGGAGCUUGUUAAAAGUUGAAUUUUAGAAAAGUUAAAUGUGUGUGUGCUUGUGCUAGUGCCGAAUGUGCCUAGGGUGAUUUAGCAUUGAGUUUGGUGUUAUAUGAAUUGAGUUUUAUGGUUUUGGAUUUUUAAGUGUUGUUAAAUACUUUGAAUAAUAUAUAUAAGUGGCUUUGAUAUGUGAAAUUCGGCCAAGUGGUUAUAAGCAUGAUUUUAGAAAUUCAAUGAUAUUCGGCCAAUUUGAAUAAUUCAUGGCACCCCAAGCAAAUUAGUUUUAGAUGUUAAUAAAUAUUGAAAUUAUUUAAGCAUAUUACCGAAUGUGAUUUUAGUUAAUGAUUCGGUUAUGAGUGCUGAUUUGUUUUAUAAUUAGCCGAAUGUGUAUAUGUAUACUAUGAGGUGGUUUAGCUUAAAGAAAAUUAAGGUGCUCGGAAGGUGAUUGUCAUGGAUAGUUUAAGUAAUGAAAUUUAAUUUCUGUUAUGAAAGUGAUGACAUUGCUGUUUGCAAAUUUGAAGUUAAAAAUUGUUGAUUGAGCAUCAAGAGCUUAUGGGGACAAACUCGGAUCGAGGAAAAAAAAACGAAGGUAGUCGUGUAGUCGAUAGAGCCGUACGAUAACUUUUGAGGUAAGCUCUUAAACGAUUAAGUUGAAUUUAUGUGUGUAAAGAUUAAAUGAAUAUAGAAUAAAGUUUUAGUAUAUGUGAUAUAUAAAUAUAUAUACUUUCGAAUGAUUAGUAAUGUUCAUAAUAUGAGCCGAAAAUGGCUAACUUACUCGAUUGAAUUGUGCAUGGAAAUGAGGUAUAUGCUAAAAGAGUUUUAGAGAAUGAUAUAUGAUCUCUGUGUUUCGGUUAAGUAAUGGUAAAUAGAAUGAGUAUGAAUUUAGUGAGGACUUUGUGUGAUAGCCAAAUGUCUUAUGAACUAAUAUGUGUGAAUGGUAUUUUGAAUACAUAAGAUGGAAUAACUGAAAGUAUCAUGAGUUAAGACUCGAAUAAAUUACUAUGAAUUUCUUGUAAAUGCCGAAUAGUGAUUACAUUUGGCUAUGAAAUUAUGCUUCAAAUUCUUGAAUGUAUUUGAAAUCAAUAUAAGGAAAUGGUAUUUUAAUAAAUUAUGUGAUGAAAUUACCGAAUGAAUUCUGAGAUGAAUUGUGGAUUAAUGUUAACAAGUAAGUGAAACUACUAAUGUGAUUAGGAAAUUGAAGAAGGGAAAUUUAGAUCUUAGUAAGUUCUUAAGUGUUUGAACUUUUGGAAAUUUAAGAGUAAAUUGUAAUAGAUCUGCUUGGGACAGCAGCAAUAGCGUGAUUUUAGAAAAUCACCAUAAAUUGUUGGAGUUGAGUUAGAGGCUAAAAAAAAUUAUGUAAUUAAAGCUUAAUGACUCUAGUUUCAAAUGAAAUCAACGAGAACAUAUUUUGAACUCUUUACAAUGAGAAAUUUGAUUCGAAGUGAAGAGUGGUCAGAUUAGUCAAACAGUGAAACAGGGGAAACUUUAAGAAAAAUCUGGUAUUGAUUGGCCAAACCAAAAAUUCUGAAAAUUUUAUGGAUGAAAGAUAUAUGAGUCUAUUUUCAGGGAAAAUUUACGGCACUUGAUUUGGAGUUUCGUAGCUCCAGUUACAAAUAAUUUAAUGACUGUUGCUCAGGAAGACAGCUUGUAGUGAAUUUGUGAUUAUGUUGUAAACAUUGAUAAAACUGUUUGAGUUGCUUAUAAGAUAUUGAUUAAAACCAUAUGUGAAUUUUGAAUUGUGACGUUAGGAAAUGAUAUAUAAGUGAUUUUGAUAUGAUGAAAUUGAUGUACAAGAUAUGUAUAUGUGGUGAGGCCGAAAUGGCUAAUAUUAAAUGUGUGCAAGUUAUCUGAAGGGCCUUUAUGAAAAUGUGUGCUAUCUUAUUUGUAUAGUGAGGCUGAAUGGUUACUUAGAAAUGUAAUAUGGCUGAGUGGUUAUUUAAAUGAAAGCAAAGUAUAUGAUAUAUUAGCAAGUAAUGAUAAAGCAUUAUCUUAUAUAUGUGCUUGUGUAUGUGGUGCAACUGAAUGGGCAAGUGUGAAAUGUACAUAUGUUUAUGUGUAUAUAAUGGGGCCGAAUGACCAAUUGUGAAAAGUGGGUACUAUUAGAUAUUUGAUGAGGCCAAAGAUAGUAAAAAGUAUAUAAAAUAAAUUGUGCUGAGAUUGUAUCCGGGCUUAAAGACCCGCAGGCUAUAUGCUGGAAUUAUAUCCGGGUUAAAUCCCGCAGGCUUUGUGCUAGUAAUAUAUCCGGGUUAAAUCCCGCAGGCUUCGUGCUGGUAUUAUAUCCGGGUUAAAUCCCGCAGGCCUAGUGCUAGUAUUAUAUCUGAGUUUAAAGUCCCAUACGCUUCGUGCUAGUGUUAUGUUUGGGUUUUAUACCUCGCAGGCCAAGUGUUAGUGAAAUUGAUAAAGUAUAUGACUACGAGAUCCUAUGCUAAGAUGAUAAAUUGAACUCGUAUUACACAUUAAGUGAUUCAGGUAUGUGAUAUAUAUAUUAUAUGUGAGAUUGAUCUGACAGGAAUUAAGAAUGUGUAAUGAGAAGCAUAUGAAAAGAUGUUGUAAAUUCAUAUGUAUAUUUGUAUAUGUGUGCAUUCAGUUAUUAUGCAAAGUUACAAGAUAGUUUUCGAUAUGCUAUUUAACUAUGAAUGUUGAAAGUAAGUGUGGGUAAGAAAUGAUACACUAGUGAAAUUUGAAAGAAUUAAAGUUAAUCCGGAAGCUUGUAAAUACUAUGUUUAUAUGAGUUUGAGUAUAAACGGAGUAAAAUGAUAUGUGUUUGUGCAUAAUCAGCCAAAUAGUAUUGUACUCAGAAAGUGUUAUGUGAUUUCGAACAUUUGGUUUGUUUUUAAGUUCAACUGUUUAAAUUGCUUAAGACUUACUAAGCUUAUGAAAGCUUACUUUGAAUGUUAUGUUUCUCUGUUUAUUUUUGUAGAUCGUUGACUCUUACUAUUAGCUCGGGGAUCGUCAGCACUUCGUCACACUAUCUACUAUUGUAGUAAUCAUGUGAUUUGGACUUAGUUUAUGCCAUGUAUAGGAUAGACUAUAAAUAGAAUGAUAUUUUGACUAUUGUAUAUAAGCCAUGCGACAUCUUAUGGAAGUUUACUUUUAUAAGUUUUAACUUCGAUCUUUGUUUGUGUCUAUUAGUUAUAUAAAUAAAUGAUCUUUUAUUUAAGAAAAGGUUCAAAAUUUUACUAUUUUGAUCUGAUUCCUAAUUUCUGGUAACGUCUCGUCCUAUUCCGGCGACGGUUACGGGAUAGGGGUGUUACACUUAUGAUUCUAUGUGGUUAUCUGUGAAAAAUAUCUAUUGAAUGACUGUAACUAUAUUUCAAUUUCUCUUAUGUUCAAAAUGCAUUAUUGAUAAUUGGGACAUUAUAUAUCUAUACGGUUGAGAUGUCAGCCUUAUUAUGGCACUAUGAUUUUAAAUUAUCUGAUGGUUGUGGCUUCAGUAUGGUUCAAAGCUUCGUUGAUUAAUAAUUGAAAAGUUAUUACUUGACAGUCGAGAUCGAUUCAGUUGUCUAGUUUGAUUAGAUUAAUUGCUUGAAGGAUUAAUCGAGUUACUUGUAUCUGAAUCUAUCCACAGGGUGGAAAUAAAGUUUGAAUGUUCACGGAUAAAUAGAUGAAUAUUCUAAAUGCAUGAUUCGUAUUCUAGAAGAUAUGAUACAUAAUUAUAUCCAUCAGAACGAUUUUAUUGAGAAAUGUUCUUAUAGAUCGCGAUUGGGAAGUCUGAAUGAUGUGAUAAUUAUCAAUAAAGUGGUAAACAGUUGAAGAAAUUGUUAAUUGAAGCGUCAGUUCUCAGGUGAAGAGUUAUUCGACACAAGAAUUAAAUAUGGUUUGAACUGUUGAAAGAUUAUGAGUCAGCGAUUGAUUAUCAAUCUGGACAAAUGAUUAUAGUCUUUGGGGUUCUGAGCGAGAAUCUUUAUGUGUUUUACGGCUGAUAAUCAUGUGAUUAAUCUUAUCAAAUAAUGAGUAGUUAUUGGCUGAGCUAGAAACUAAAUUGAUGUUUAAUUAGCAAAUUUGUGAGGUUAAGAAGUGUGUCAGUGAAUUACAAGUUAAAAAGGGUACAACGUAAAUUGAUUUCUGAUUUAAAAUUUCAGAUUGGAACCUACAAUUGUUAUUAUGUCGAGAUAGAGUUCAUGUAUUGAGAAAUCCAGAGAUUUUACAACAAUUGUGACAUCUAGCACAGUGGUAAUUAUCUGUCCGUACGGGGAGUACUAAAAGAGUGCUAGUUUUCAUUGUUCAAAUGGAGACACGAGGAUUGUAUCGUGUUACUAAAAUAAACUACUAUGAGCUUUGGGUAUGGUAUUACUUUGUAACACUGUGUUCUAGAACUUGAAAGCAAACGAGAAAGACAUUUAUUGUUGGUUAAGUUAGCAUAUAAUAAUAUUAGUUAUGAGAUGAAUGUUAAGAUAGCAUUGUAUGAGUGUGGUAUGGUUGCAAUUACUGAACUUCGUUGUAUUGAAUUGAAUUUUUAUAAAAAGAAUUUCGAGGUCGAUGUGAUUGGAAAGACUGAAGGGAAAUGAAAGUAAUUCAUGACCGUCUAAAAACAGUUUCAGAUUUGCAGAAAAUAUAUGUGGGCUUGAUGCGUAAAAGCAUUGAAUUUUCAAUUAGAAAAUUGAGUAUUUGUAAAGGUAUUAUAGUAGGAAUAGAAUUUCUAGAUUUAGCUAUAAAGAGAAGUUGAGUUCGCAGUUCAUCGGAUCGAAUGAGAUUAUUAUCAAAACUUGAGAAGACCCGUUAUGUGUUUUUUAUAUAUAUGAUGUGAUGAUACAAAUAAGAUCCUUUAUCUAUAGUAUCUCUUACAGAAGUAGAAACUCAGCUUGUUAUGAUGUAUAGCAAAGAGCAGAUCAUAAUCUUAGCUCAUGAGAUUGAAAAUUUGAGAAAUCUGAGGCUAGGUAAGAAAUUGUUGAGGUUGGAGAAAGAAAAUCACUAAUUUAUUCUCUGGCAAGAUUUUCGGGGACGAAAAUCCCUAAGGGGGGAGAGUUGUAACAGCCUGUUUUUUAGGGUUGAUCGGAACAGUGGUUUUGGGGCCACCAAAUCCGAACGAGUAGGUUGGUAAAUAUUAUAUUUAAUAUUUACGAGUUAAUUGUGAUUUUAAAAAUGUUUUUGAUAUUGUGAUUUUUGUUUUAUAAGCGAUUUAUUAAGUUCAAGUGGUAUGACCCUAAGGUCAACUGGGUUUAGAAAAUAAGGUAUCGGGACCUUGUUUCUAUAAACCGAGUCGUAAAUAUUUUUAUAAAUAUUUACAUAGUGGCAAUAAGAUGGUAUUAAAGUUUCGGUGAAAAAUUUUAUCGUUUCGAUAGUUAAUUAAACAAAAAGGACUAAAUUGUGUAAAGUGCAAAAAUUGUGUUCUAUAACCUAAAGCUAUUAAAUAGAUAUAGAACUUAAAAGUAGAAGUCCUUAUUUGGUAAUUAGCCUAUUAAAGAGAUAGUGGGAUAUGAUGGCUUGGCAUUUGGUGUAAUAAAUAAAGUGUAUAAAGGUUAAUAUUGUAAAUUGGUUAAAAAUAAUAAUAAAAUGAAUAUAAUAAAAGAAUCAAGGUGUCAUCUUUUUCAUUCUCUUUUUACCAGCCGAAUAUGAAGGCUUGAGAAGCCAUGGAAGAAGCUUCCAACUUUCAGCUAAUGCAUGGUAGGCAUUUCUAGUCCCGUUUUUAAUUAUUUUUAUAUUUUCGGGAUCGUUGUUGCUUAAUUUAUCUAAUGAGGGGACUAUUUUGCAAAACCAUUGAGUAGUUUGAUAUUUUCCAUUGAUGAGUAUAAUAGGGCUUUGAAGUUUAAUGGAAGAAUAUGAGUCCUUGUUGAUAGUUAAACACUUUUUGUUAAGUGAAUUUUUGUGAAAUUGACAAUUAAGGGCUAAAUUGAUAAAUGUGAAAACUUUGUGGUUAAAAUGUCAAAUAAAUGAAAUGUGUGGGCUGCUAGAGACACUAGUGAUAUUCGUCUAUAGUAGAAUUUUACUCAAUUUCAUGAAUUUUCAUUUUUAUGAUAUAGGGACUAAAUUGUAAAGAAGUUGAAAUAUUAGGGGCAAAACUAUAAUUUUUCCAUAAAGUGAAUUAUGGACUGUUUUGAUACCAUGAACAUUUGGCUAAGCUUAACUAUGGUUAAAAAUGGUUAAUUUGCAUGUUUUGAGCUCAGGGACUAAAAUGAAUAAAAGUAAAACUUUAGGGGUUAUUUUGUAAAAAUGACAAAAAUGACCAAAUUGUAUGAAAUGAGGUGUUUUAAUGUCUAAAUUAAUAUACUGAAUGAAAUUAUUAAUUUAGAUCAAGGUCGGGUGGAAAAUCGAGCAAAAUGAGAAAAUUACCAAAAUACCCCUGAACUUUGGUAUCUCUACAAUUUAGCCAGGUAAGUUCGUAUGCAAUAAGCAUUGUUAAAUUGAUGUUUCUAAUGCUUUAAUAUUGUAUAAAUUGUAUAUACGUGAAUAUUUUAAUAUCUGACGACAUAUCGACAAAAUGUGGCACUUAGUGUGCGGGGCAAUCAAAUAUGGUACUCAGUGUACGAAAUAUUGAGAAUGGCACUUAGUGUGCGAGAUAUUGAAAAUGACACUUAGUGUGCAAAAUAUCGAAUGAUUCAAAGGGAAAUUAUAAAUUGUGAUUGAAUGAUUAAAUAGAACAAAGUGAACAGGUAUACAUGCUAUAUUAUAUGAAUUGUUUAUGAGACGACUUUAUAAUGGUGAUAUUUGGGCUUUGAGCCUAGCAAGCUUUAAGCUGGUGAAUAAUAUUAUCGGGUUUAAAACCUAGCAGGCUAAAUGCCGGUGAUUUGAUAAAAGUCUAAGACUAUGAGACCUUGUGUUAAAUCGACAAUUGAAUUUGUUCAAUGCAUUAAGUUGGCCAGGUAUGUGAUAUAUUCUUAUGCAUGUUAGAUCGAUUGGAAUUGAAUCAUGAAUGUGAAAUGAGAAGCAUAGGUCAAAAUGCCUAUGUCAUAUAUGUGAGUAAGGGCAAAACCAUCGUAAAUUAUCGAUAAGGGUGGACUAUGUGCGGAAUCAUCUUAUAAUUGCUAAUUUGAACGAUUGUGUGCGAAUCAUUGAGCAUGAUGUAUUGUAUUGAGAUUAUGCUUGAGUGAAAUUAUAGAUAUGUGAUGAAAUUGAUUGGUAAUAUACAUGUUUAAAUAAUGUGAAUGCAAAGAAUGUGUGAAAGAGUAAAUUUGUAAUAAAUCUGCUUGGGACAGCAGCAGUAACGUGAUUUUGGAAAAUCACCAUAAAUUGUUGGAGUUGAGUUAGAAGCUGAAUAAAUUAUAUAAUUAAAGCUUAAUGAAUCUAGUUUCUUAUAAAAGAAACCAUGUAAGCAAAAGAAUUGCUGAUAAUGAGAUAUUUGAAGUGGCGUGGGAUAGAGUCAAAUGACUUCGGGGUCCCCUAUUCUGUUUUAUAAAAUCAUUAUAAUUUGUACAAAAAUGGUUAUAAGAUAAAAAUUUAUAUGCUUAGACUCCUUAAUGAGUCUAGUUUCAAAUGAAAUCAAAUAGAACAUAUUUUUAAUUCUGUACAAUGAGAAAUUUGAUUCGUAGUGAAGAGUUGUCAGAUUAGUCAAACAGUGAAACAGGGGAAACUUUAAGAAAAAUCUGGUAUUGAUUGGCCAAACCUAAAAUUCUGAAAAUUUUAUGGAUGGAAGAUAUAUGAGUCUAUUUUUAUAUAAAAUUAACAGCAAUUGAUUUGGAGUUUUUUAGCUUCAGUUAUAAACAAUUUAGUUACUAUUGCUCAGGAAGACAACUUGUAGUGAAUUUGUGAUUAUGUUGUAAACAUUGAUAAAACUUGUUAAUGAGUUGCUUAUUGUUUUCUUAUGAACUUACUAAGCGUAAAGCUUACUCCCCUUUUUUUUCCCAUAUUCCGUAGGGUUGCCAGGUUAGCUCGGGUUGGAGGCCGUCAGAGAUAUUAUCACAUUGUCAAGUCUACGCUAUCGGCGUAAGUAAAUCUUAGUGUUUCGAGUCUAUGGCAUGUAUAGGGUUGUAAAGUUGAGUAAGUAAAUGAUACAAGACUAAGAUAUUGGUAAAUAUUUAAUAAUGCCUCAUGAAUAUUUUGGGCCUUGUAAGCCCGAUUAAAGGAUAAUAUACGUGUGUAUGAAAAGUUUAAAAUUGAUCAAAAAUUUUUACGGUCUAGUUUUAUAUAAAUGGAUGAGUUUAAAUCUGGUAGCACCUCGAAACCUGUUUCGACGAGGGAUACGGGCGAAGGGUGUUACAGACAUGAUCCUUUAUACUCUCGAAAACAUGAUAAAUUUUGACUUCCAGAAGUUUAUAUGUCAAAAAUUACAAAAGGAUGCCCAAUAUUUUAGUCCAACGAAAAAAUCGAAACCUAGCACAGUAAGGCAUGAUUUCUCGAAUUUCUAGACAUUGAACAUUGCCUUAUUUUAGAAUUUAGAAAGCAUGAGUGAAAUUCUAAAGGAAUAAUCGAUUAUUUUGAACAAACAAGAAAUUGCAACCCAGCACGAUAGGGCACGAUUCCCCGAAUUGCCAAACAUAGGGCGUUGCCUUCAUUUUAAAUAAUUUUUAAAGACAUGAAUGAAAUUCCAAAAGGUUCAUUCGAUUAUUUAGAGCAAACGAGAAAUUGCAACCCAGCACGAUAGGGCACGAUUUCGUGAAUUGUCAAAUAUCGGGCAUCGCCUUCGUUUUAAAGAAUUUUUAAAUGAAUAAUUAUAAAACUAGCUUAAAACGCAUUAGUUCGACUUGAAAUAUGAUGGAAUAAUUAAUUAGAAUUUUACAAAAAAGAAGUUGAAAAUCAUAAUGCGACAUUUGUAGACUAAAGGGAAAAUAGAACUUGGGGUAAUAUGCACACAUAAAAUACAAUACCAAUUAACAAACUUAUAACUAAGCAUAACUGAUCAAGAAAAUAUAAUCAAACUCGCAAGCGUGGUUGACAAACAAUAAGAAAUAAAACAAUAGAUAAAUGAUAUACGACAAUAGUAAACAUGGCACAAUAUAAGUCAAUCAACAAAUCAUAUACAAAACAAAAUGGAGUUUAGAGGUCGAUAUGGUAUAAGACAAUUUCAAAAUAGAUGGAUGAACACAUAAUAUAUGAUAUAUAAGCGGAUGAAUUGAUAAAUUAGAAACCAUUAAUUGUAAGAACAAACUAAAUAUAUAUAUGCAAUUAUUAGAAAGCGUAUCAUAGAAUGAACAUUUUUAAAAUCAAGAAAUAUACAAAGGAAAAAAUGUUUAUUGAAAUAUGCACAUGAAAAUUUAAGUAAUGUAUAGGAUAUUCAAAAAUAACAAAAAUACAUUGUAAAAUAUAACUUUAAGAAAUGCAUGCAAUAGGUUUAUAAAAACAUAUAUAUGUAUAAAUAGAUUUAGAAAUAGCUAUUUGCAAAAAGAACAUACACUUAAUAAUGCAUUUAAGAUUAAAUUAACUUCAUUAUAAGCUAUACAUAAAAAAACUUAAGAACAUACUUACAUAUAUAAAGGAAACUAUAGGUAUAAAGUACAUGGAUUUAGUAAUGUAUAUAGAUUAAACAUAGACAUCAAUAAACAUAUAUACAUAUAAUAAUAAUUUAAAAGAUAUAUCAUGUAGGAUUAUGUAAUAUAAUAUGUAACACCCCAACCCGGCCCAGACGUUAGACCGAAUUCAGCGUGUCACAUUGCAGUGUUUUUCGAAAACCAUGUUUUCAUUGAAAACCCUUCUUGAUGUAAAACUCAUUGGAGCAUUAUUGUAAAACUCAUGUUUUAAUUAAAAAUCUUUGAGAAGAAUAUUUUCGUUGUAGAUUAAAGUGAAUGGAAGCUGUGCACCAGGUAGGAAGCCAGAAAAGAGGAGGUGAGUCUAUUGGACUGCUUAAGUACCAAGCUCUUCAUGGAUCCAAUCCUAGACAUGCACACAUCCAUUGCCACACUUAAAGCAUAUUACUUGUCCACGAACAACAAAUUAAGUUUAAGUCCAUUUAAAAUAUUUAUUUCCUUUGAAAACAUUUACGUUGCGGAAGCUUUGCUCGGUAAUCGUGAUAUUUUGAAAAUAAUUAACUUUUAUAAAACGCGCCCUAGAGCUAACCAAUUUAAUAACCCAAAAUAUUAAAAAUAAUAAAAAGAGCAGCCUUAUUACAAAUUAAACCAGAAUAAAAAUAAUCAAAAUAAUAAAUGCGAAACUUAUUUUAAAGAAAACAGAAACUUAAUCUUCGUGGCCACUCUGAAUCCCGCCCAGCUCCAAGUCCACCAACUAGGGCUCACCUGCAAGGAUGGAAGAGAAAGGGGGUGAGUUUGGAAAACUUAGUGUGUAAAGUAUCCCAACCAGAGCCCAAAUCAGUUCAAGUUUUACUGGGCCUAAGCCCUAUUCAGAAAUCAGUGUUAACUGGGCCUUAGCCCAUAUCAAUAUUAAUCUGGGCCAUAGCCCCUUACAGUAUCAGAGUAUAUUGGGCCUAGCCCAUAUCAGUAUCAAUCUGGGCUUAGCCCUAUUACAAGUCGAGAUAUAUUGGGCCUUGGCCAUAUUAACACAGUUGGGCCCAUUUCAAUACAGUUGGCCCAUAACAAAACAGCCUCAUAUGAUUAAUGCAUGAUAACCCGAUCCAACCCUGCACUUGCCUCCGUCCAUCCCUACACUUCCUGUGGGGAAUAAAUCACCCACGCCAUCCCUACACUUACAGUGUUAGCACCGGUUGCGGCACUAACUAUAAUCCGCAGCAAAGCUGCUUAUAUCUGAAUAUGUGGCACAGCCACCAGAACGGGUUCUUCCUCCAUAACAUAACCCAGAUCCCAUGCAACAGAUAUACAUGUCAUGGCAUACAACAAACAGAAUCAGAAUAGCAUGCAUUUCAGUCAAAAUUAACCCUAGGGGUAUAACGGUCAUUUUGCACCUAGGGGUAAAAUGGUAAUUUUCAUACUUAGGGGUAUUUUAGUAAAAUUCACUAUUUUAGGGUUUACAUACAUCCUACAACCGUUAACGCAUCAACAGAAACACUUACCGAGCGUCUUUACUAAAUUGGGCCCGUUGGCCCAUUAACCCGUUUUCAGCCCAUUAAGCCCAAAUAUACUGAAGUGCACGAAAUUGCGCACUCUGCAAUCAUACCGCUUUAGAUUACCAAAACUAACAAACAACCAUCUCACGAGCGCUCGCACGCUCGCAAGUUCACAAAAUGCUGGCUUUCCGGCAUUUCGGCUUUUGCCGAUCUAGUCUAUGAGUGGGUGUCGUUUACACACCUGUUUUUCGACGAAACGUUGAUGAGUUCCACACACGAGUUUCCUACAAUCAGUUACUAACACGUUAAACUAUGAAUCCAUAACAACUUAACACAUCAAACCCUUACCAUAUUUGGCCCUUAACACCUUAGGCACUAAAGUUCAUACCUUUGCCGAAAAAAUAGAAUAGAUCUAAUUCUGGUCGUUCCAAAUAUCCAAGCCCUCGAUUAGUAGCCUUUAAUCCACACAAGAGCAAAACAAAUCAAAAAAUACCACUAAACCCUUUUAGUUUAGUCGACAGGCACCCUUUGCAUAUAGGGGUUUUCGGCUUUUCUUUAAAUCCCGAAAUAAAGAAUGGAAAUAAGAUUCCGAGUACUUACCACCAAUGAUGUACUUGUCAAGAGCGUUUCAAACACUUCCCCAAUCUCAGAUCUACAGUGAAUCCAAUCUUAGAAUGCGAAUAAAGAAUAGAAAAAUAUGAGGCUUUUCAGCUUUUGGAUCUAGCCUAGAAUAUGGCUAUUGCGAUCUAAAAGAAAAAAAUAAGUGACGAUAAGUUCAGCAUCAAAGAGACAAUCAGUAGAGGAACAGAUGUAAGAUUAGAGGUUCGGUCUUUUGAAAGAUUAAAAGGAAAGGAGAUAUGGUUUCAACCAAAGGAGUAAUCAGCAACCAAUAUUUGAGAAGAAAAAGUUGUUUUAAAAAGAAUUUGGCUUCGAGGAAAAAAAAUAGAAAAUGAGAGAAUUGUUCAGCUUUUGAGAAAAAUAGAAAAGAAUAUGAGCAAAAGAAAUAAGAUAAAAUUAGAAUAAAAUAAAGUCCUUUUCCAAUUUUAAUUCCUUCCUUAGCUCCCUAAUUCCUGGCCAAAUUCAAAGUUUGGAUUUAAUUCAAACUCUCCACUGCUUAGCAGCAGUCCACCGCUCCGACUCCUGUUGCUGGUAGAGUUUCAAUCCCGUACGGUCCUUCCCACACUCGUACAGCAAAAAGAAGCACCCUCUUGCGCGUAACACUGCUUAAACCUGGAACCUCCAGGUUGCCCAACACGAUGCUGACCACUGGGACGCACAUUUGCUUUCAAUAGUAUACCGUCACAUUUUAUAUUAAACGUUACCUCCUGAAGUCCCGCUCAUUUUAAAAAUAUAAAAUUAAGACAUACCUGCGCCAAGACUCGAACCCGUGCCCCUAUGGAACUCCUAGCACCCUACUGCCACUGCGCUAUAAACUCUUUUUGAUUAACUUAUACUUGCAAUUUCUCUUAACCCUUAUUCUAGCCGCGAUCUGCAUAUUAAAAAAAAUCCCCAAAUUGCGCACGCCACAACCUUGAACCCAAGCACCUCCCAUGCCUUCCUAGCGUGCUUAGCCACUGGGCCAAGUGCUCCGUUAUGCUAAAACGCAGCCCAAAUUAUUAUUAAGGCCUACUGCCCAGAUUCCCUAAGGUAGCAUAAAAUUAAAAUUUUUCUAGUCUUAAACACCAAAACAACAAUACUUUUAUAAAUAUAUAUAUAUUUUAUUUUUUUCCCUAUCUAAUAAUAAUAAUUAUAAUAAUAAUUUUAUAAAUAUAUCUAAUAAUAAAAAUUUCAAAUAUCAAUAAUACAGUAAAUAAUAAUAAAAAUUUUUCAAACAUAUAUGCAGUAAUAUUUUUCUAAUAAUAAUAAUUUUAUCUCAUAAUACUAAUUAAAUUUUCGUAAAAAUUUAAAAUAUCCGUAAUAAUAAAUACAGUAAAAAUUUUCUAGUAGUAAUUUAAUUCAAAAUUGUUUUCUUAAACGAUAAUAUUUAAAACUUUUUAAUUAUUCAGGUUUUCUUCUAUCCGAAUCCCAGACUCAAGGCCCAAUUCUUUCUAGGCCCAAUUUUUGGGGUGUUACAUAAUAUGAGAAUAAAUUUAAAAGAAAUCAUAUGUAAGUAUUUUAAACACAAAUUUAUUUUAAAAAAAUUGACAAUGUACAUGAAAAUCUUAAAUAAUAAAUAAAAUAUGAAAGAAUAAUAGAAAUACACAAUGAGAUAUAAUACACAUAAUAGAUUUACAAAAUAUAUGCUAGAAUUUAAAAUAAUUUACAUGUAUAAAAAAACCUCAAAUAUAAAAAUGAUUUUUAAAAUAUAUUGUAAAAGAAGAAAUUUGAAUCAAAUAACAUCCAAAAUAUUUUUAAAAUGGAAUAUCAAAGUUGAUCAUAUAUAUAUAAUAAAGAAAGUUAAAAAAAGCAUAUUAGAUAUGAAAGGUUUGUAAAUAACAAAAGAAAAAGUACGAUAAAACAUAUUUUAUAUACAUAGGGUUUUAACUUAUAUACAAAUAGAUUCAAAAGGAAUUAUGUAUGUGAAAUAACAUGGAACUAAUAAGAUAUAUAGAAUAAAAAUCCAACUUUAUCAUGAACUACAUGUAUUUAAUAGUAUAUAAAAACAUUUAAAGGAUAUAUUAUACAAAAAAAACAUUUUAAAAUAACAUGAUAAAAAAUUUGAAAUAAAGAUCUUAUGUCAAGAAGGCAAAAUCAUCCUAAAAACUCAAAAAAAAGUAUACAUUUAUAAAGAAAAUCGAGCGAAUAAUAAAAAAAGUAUACAUUUAUAAAGAAAUAAAUAAGCAAACAAGAUGCAAUUGAGCAUCUGCGCAAAGGGGAGGGACCUGGGGUGCAAUUAGCCCUUUCAAACAAAGAAACAUGGACCCGGCCUAUCCAUCAGGUCAACAUGCGGAUCCCUCUCCCUUUGAAACAAUGCCGUUUCACUUUCCAUCAAAAACCUAAUAACAAAUGAACUCUACCAUUUUUUACUAAAAUUUAUACCAAACCUCCCCUUUUUCCUAUUCUCCACCUUGACCGACUCUUGGGCUUCACCGACGCAUAACACGCCUCCACCACCGCCGAGGUUUUUCACCGGAUCCGCAAGGAUUCGUCGACUUUAGACCGGAGAAGAGGGCGUUGGCUAGAUCGACACCAAGCAACAGAUAAGCAAACCCUAUUCUUUUUCUUUAGUGUAUUUGUAAGAUAAAAAAAUGAAAUAGUCUAAUAAGGACUAAGAAUCAGUGAACCAACCAACUUUGGAAAUGAACUCGAUUCUCCUGCUUUAUGAAUCUUUUUCAUUUUUUGUAUUCAUUCUUUGCAUCUCUAUUGCGUUUUUUUUGUGUAAUUUUUGUUCGUGUGUAAAAAAGGUGCCCCUUUUACAAUAAAAAAUCAAAGGCUUUAUAGCCGAAUAACCAAAAAAAACAACAAUUUUUUUCCUCUGCUUUCGAAUUGACUUGUUACUACUUUUGUUUGUUUUCUUUUGCAGGUACGGAGCACGGGGCUGUGCGUUGGAGUGUGUACGGGAGCUGGCACGUCAUACGGUGCGAGGGCAGUGUUGCUGGAGCAGAGGCGUUGUCCAGUUCUUGGCUGCGGAGCAAAAUGAAGGGGGUGACCUAGGGUUUCUAAAGCUGUCAAGGAGAUGGGCUUAUUGGGCUUGUUUUGAUUUGGGCUCGUCAUGGGUAUCGGGUCUGGGUUUAAUUGGGCUAUUUGUAAUAGUUUUGGACUAUUAUAAGAUUUAAAUUUUGGUCUUGUAUUUGGGUUAAUAUCGGACUUUUAUUAUUGGGUUUUUAUUUUUUGUUUUUUUGGUUUGUUUGUAAUGGGCCGGGCAAAUUUGGCCCACUACAUAUGGCAUGUAUAGUCUAGUAUUUUUGUUGGUUGGAUUUGAGUUGUACUUAUGGAAGCCAUGCGAAAAUGGCUAAAUAUGAUGUUUAAACUUAAGUAAAUUAUGGUUGAUUUCAUAAUUAAGUAAUGCUAUAAUAUAUAAAUAUAUAUGUGAUGGAAUUAAUUUAGUAUUCUUGGUAUAUGCGAAUGAAUUCAUGGUCUGUUGGUAUGGUUAGAUUAUGGAUAUAUCAUGCAUAAGAGUGGAUUGUUGAUAUGAAAUUAUUAAAGAUGUAUGCCGUUGACUAUAGUAUAAAUUGGGCAUUUGAUAUUGAUUAGUUGAUAAUUGUUUCUAGAAGAAAUAAUUUGUUUGUGUACUUGGAAGAUUUUUUAUAUGAGAUGAAUUUUGGUCGGCUUAUGGGUUUAGUUAUAUGUGAGAUUUUAUGCACGUUUUAUGAAUGAGAAAGUUGCUAAUGGAUCUUUAUUAAGUAUAAUUAAAUUCAGCUUUGGUUGAUAAAAUGAAUAAAUG